AGGGAUUCAUGCAGCUGCAGAGCAUCAAUCUGCCAUCACUGUUCCAUAUCAAUCCAAAGAUAUUUGUGAUAUAUUUUUGUUCUAAGUGAAGGUUAGAGCCCCCUUCAUUUCACUACUACAUCAUGAUUAUUCAUUUGCCAAUGCUGCUUGCCACUACAUUUGGUUUGCUCUAAAUAAAGGUUAGUGCCCCCUUCACAUCACUACCACAUCUUAAUUACUCCCAUCCCUGUAAAUUGACGGAUUUUUCAUUUGUCGAUACUGUUUGUCAAUGCAUUUUGUUUGCUCUUAUUGUUGCUAAGAAGUUGAUAGUGAGCCUGGAACUUCCUGUAUAAAACUUGAGUAAUGCUAAGGUACGGAGUAGACGAAUCAGGUGUCGUAUUUGCAUUGUGUGAAAAUGUCUUCCUUUUUCCAAGACUCAGUUUUAUUACGACUAUGCGUCGUGCUCUAUCUGUUGUUUUAAAUGGGUACGAGGCUCCUAGCACUUUUAGAGAACUAGAACUCAAGUUCUGUCUUUGCCUUACCCCCAAUAGUUGCUUCUAGUUUUUUGUUCCAAAAAGAAAAGAAAAUAUCCUGAUGUAAACAAAGGCUUAAAUUCCUGAUGAAGUACUUAGGCUGAAUUUGAUUUAUUCAAUAGGCUGAAUUUGAUUUGAGAUAGUGAAUGUUAUUACUAAGUGAGCUAUUAGCUUGUUGAAACCAGUAAGAGAGUGGACAAAAUAUUACUUAAGAAUAUAACUCUAAUAAAUGGGAAUUACUUAGUCCUACAACUAGAGAAUUUUAAGUAGAGAAAAAGUAAUUAGUAGGGGACAAAAAUAUUUUGCCAUCCUAUUUUCGGUUUUGUAUCAUAUGUUUUCUUGGAAAGUAAGAAGGUUUGGGAGCGAUAAUUAUAUCUGUAUUUUUUUUUCCUCGUUUCUUUGAUUUUGUUCUUGCGUGCUCGACUGAUGAAGCUCCAACACAUAAGAAGUCAAAAAUGAAAAUGGUAUGAAUUACAUAUGAAGAUGAAUGCUGCAGACUGCAGAUGUAUAUCUGAAAAACCAUUAAUAGAUUAUGGAGAUCGUUUCUCCGAUGUGUUUGUUUUGUAGGAAGUUGUGAGUUAUAAUAAUAAUAAUAAUCUUACUCACUUUUCAUUGCUAUAAAUGGUCAUGGAAGCUUUUAUUAUUAUUAACAACAAUGUUGAUUUUUAGGGCUCAUUUGGUGCCUGUUGAUGUGGUCUGCUGAUGGAUAUGUGUGUAUAUAUUUUUAAUUAUUAAUUUUAUGGAUCAGAAUGAUUAUAUUAUAUAUCAAUCAAAUAUACUUUAAUUUUGGCUAAAGGGUAAAGAAAAGCCCCCAGACUUUUUCAAAAAAUCAAUGAAGCUCCCUGAACUUUUUUGUUUUCACUCAAUUGAGCCCUUGAACAUUUGAAUUAAAAUCAAUCAAUCAAGCCCUUUAACUCUUUUCAAUUUUCGCUGCAAUGAUAUAAAAUUAUAUUCUUAUUCUGAGAUUUUUUUCCCUCCCUUUUAGGCCUCAGUUGGAACGUGUUGGUGCAUGGAGUUGAGUCAAGACCCAUGUUGAUGGUGAAGAGAGACUUUGAAGAUGCCGUCAAUUAUUUUGGUUAAAACUUUGAAGUUGUUGAUGUAAUUGGGUGCUUCCUUUUUGGAUACCGAAAUAUUGACAAAAUUAAAACUGUAUAGUUUUGUGAUUUUGCACUUUAUUUAGUUCUUUUAAGGCCACCGCUCUUGCCCUUCAAAUAACACCCAUUAAGUGGUUUGAAUUAUUAUUUUUUAAAACUAAAUAAAUGUAUUUGAAAAUUAAAUUAAACAUUCGUGGUCAGAGGUGAAUUCAGGGGGUUGCCAGGGGAUCCCUAAAAUGGGAAAUUGUUAUUUUAGCCCUAUAAAAAAUUUUAAAAUCUUAAAAUAUUGAUGAGAGUGAAGUAUAGUGGUAAGUUUCAAAUUUCAGGUAAUUUUUCAUAUUAGCCCUAAAUAAUUUAAGAAAUUUGAAUUUUCUACUAAAUAAGCAUUUAACAAAUUGAUGGAUUUAGAAAUAAUAAUGAAGGUUAUAUUUGGAAGUAUAUUACUAUCCAAUUUAUAUAGCCUUUGGGAACUUAGCUUUAAAUUUUGGAUUUGAAUUUAAAUAUAUAUAUAUAUAUACAGAUUGAGUGAUUACAUAUAUUCAAAAUAUAACAUCCAUGAUUAUUUCCUAAAAACAAGAAUUUGUUGGAUUCCUACUAACUAGUAGAUUUGAGUUCCUAAGGUAUAUAUGAAUUUGACAAAUUCAUACUUUUUUAUACCAUUUUAAAUAUAUAUUAUAUUGAAAAAAUACAUUUAUAAAAAAAUAAUUUAAAGAACAUCAUAUUAGAGUAACAGAUUUAGGGGUGUUUAAAUUUCGGUUAAAAUUAAUCAGUCAGUUAACUAAUCUAAUUCGAUCAAAGAUUGGUUAAUACUUUUUUGAAAGCUCAGUUAUCGGUUAAUUUGGCUCGAAAGUGAGUAAUUAACUAAAUUAUUCGAACUUAAUAACUAAUAUAAUAUAUUAUAAGUAUUAGGCUUAGCCUACUGCCCACCUAAUCCUCAACCAGCGGCCCACCCCAGCACUACUAAGUCCUACCCAAUAUAAACCUAAUCUAGUAUAAUUUAUAAACCUAACCCAAUUUAAAGUAUUGGGACUGACUCCGUAACAUUCAUAAAAUACAAGUACUAAUAGAGAUAUUUAGCCGAUUAUUUUAACCUGAAAGUUUCAGGGAUGGACUUGCUCAAUUGGUUUGCAGACAAGUCUAGAUACAAAAGUUUGGACAUAAGUCUUGGUUCCAAGGGUACACUAUCAGAAAUUUUAUUCCCAUUCAAGCCAAGAUAAAGCAAAUAUGUCAACUUUUGCACAACCCCUAAUAAGAAGACACUACACAUUGAAAUUCAUUGUCAAGUCAACGAAUUUUAGGUUCGGGUAAACACUUAAAUAUUUAGAUAUAUUCCCUCUAUAUAUUUAGAUAUAUUCCCUCUAAGUAGGGGUGUUCAGUCGGUUAACCGACCUGAAAUAACAUUAAUCGAAUUAGCCGACCUUUCAAAAUUUUUGCCCUUUAACCGAACCAAAAUUUUUUCAAAAAAAUUAACCGAACCGAAAGUUUUUCGGAUAAUUCGGUCAGUUAACCGAAUUGACCGAAAAUUAUAUGUUUUUUAUUUUUGGUAAAAAAUUAACCGAAUUACCCGAAUCAACUGAAUAACAACACAGUUAACAUGAUUUACAAAGAUAAAAUCAAACAUAUUAUGCUUCACUUCCUGAAAAGACUAGCAUUUCCACAAGAGAACAUUGUAUUGGAUGGUAAACCAGAAGAAAUCAAUUAUUUUCUCUUAAAGAGGUAUUAUGCCAAUGGUGAUGAGUCUGUUCCUUUCCCACAGAAAUUGGACAGUUUCCACUGUAAUGCCCAAAUUUUUACCCGGCCCACAAUAAACAAAUAAAGUUCAGUUUUUACAAACCCAAUUACAGGACAAAAUACAUGGCCCGAUUUCAAACGGUGGCCCAGUUACAAACGCGACCCAAAAUAGAUGAAGGAACCCUAGGGUUUCUAAGGAUCAGCAGCGCCGCAACCAUGCCCUCCAAGCCACCAUUGUCCCCGACCUUCAUCUGCACACAAAAAAGGAAACAAACAGUAUAUGGAAAACAAAAUCGAAAGAUUUGCAAAUCAAAUCAAUAUAGGCAGAUUCGUUUUUUCAUAUAUUUUGAGAAUGGCUAUAAAAAGCCAUUAAACAUACUAUAAUCCGGAUCUUAAAAUCAAUAAAAAAGGCAUUUCCACAGCAAAUCGAGAGUCUAAUACAGAGAGCAAAUCGAUUAAAAGGUUGAUAUUUGCAAUUUUAUUUUUUCUAUUUGUUAUAUUUUUUAUUUUUUAUUCUACAUACAAAUAAAACACCAAAAACAAACAACAGGGAAGAAACGACCUGAGUGGUGCCUAGAACCGCCAUGCAUGACCGGAAGCCGAAAGGUUUCUCGGAGAUUUGGUAUUCUUUCAGUGGUAUUUUGAGGGUUUUGGGGCCGAAAAUGGGUUUUGGGGCUUCGGAGGAGCUGAAUCUAAAGUUUCCCCCUUUUUCGGCCACCGCAAGCGGUGGCGCCAACAUCGAAGAUCGGCGGCAUGCGCGGUGGCCGAUGACCGGCCGAUGCCGAACUUAGGCCGGAUGACUGAAGAGGGGGGAGAGUUUCUUGAAAGUUUUUUUGUUUUUUAAAAAAUGAAUGGGAAAUGAAAUUUUUUAUUUAAAUUUCGCUUAAAUAAGCCAAUCAAAAUGGCGCCGUUUGGAAGGAGGUGGGAUCCGCGCGUCAACCCGAUCCGAACCCAGGAUCAGCGCGUUUUUAUGCGGAGGGGCAAAUUACGUUUUUAGCCCCUCCGCCUUUUAAUACAUUCCCAAUUAAGUUUUUUUAUCUUUUAAAUUUGCCCCUUUAUUUAUUUGCGAUUUCAAUUAAGUUCCCUUUGAAUGGCGUCAUUUUAGAGGAGAAGGGGAAAUUUCCCUUCCAACCCCUCUAUGUAAUUCGCGCGUUCAAUUUAGUCCCUUUAUCUUUAUUUAUUUAUGGAUUUACCCCAGAUUUUUUUAUUUGCAGUUCAAUUUAAUUCUUUUUUCAUUUAUCUUAAAAUUAAUUAAUUUUAAUAAUGUAAUUACGAUUUUUUUAUAAUUUUCAUAUGUAAUUAUUUUUAUAUGUAUUUUUUUAUGUACAUAUUUAUUUUCAAACAAAUAUUUUUAUAUUUGUAUAUAUACAUAUUUGUUUUUGAUAAUGUAUUUAUUAUUUUUAAUCUAUAUAUAUAUAUCUAUAUUUUAAAAAAAUAAAUAUUCUUUUAUAUUUAUGAACACGUAUAUAUUUAUUUUUUUUCGAAAAUGCUUAAAUACCUACUUAUUUUAACAUAUAUUAUUUAUUUUCACCAAUGCAUUAUGUAUUUUGUUUAUAUAAAUUUUCUAAAUUCUAUAUAUAAAUUCAUGUGUAUUCUUAAUAGUUUUAAUGUAUAUGUCAUGUACCUUUUAUUCUUUAUUUUUUUAUUUUAUUUUGUUUUCAUUAUUUUCUUAUCUUGCUCGUUUAUUUAAUAUUUUGCAUGUCAUUAACUUUUUUCUCCCUUAUGUAUAUUUGUUUCAUUUACCUAUUUAUUCAUAUUAUUUCUAUGUCAUUGUUGUAUUUAUUAUUGCAUUUUUAUACUUAAUGUAGCAUCACAUCAUUGUUUUUUACUCAAUUUUAAGAUUUUCAAAAUUGAGAUGACACUCGUAUUUAGGAUUUUCAAGAAAAUUGAGCCCUAACGUAUUGGGUUCCGAUUUUCUUCGUUAAAUCCAACGAUCGAAGGUUGCUUAUUAAUAAAAAAUAAAAAGCUUGUUAUUGGGGAGUUAAAUAUGUUGUAUCCUAAUGUAUUGGAUGUGACGUAUUGAUUUCUCGAGACAAAGGUUUUUUUAAAAAAUGAUAAUAAAGGAAAUAUUCCAAGUUUGGGAUUUUGAGGAACUGUGCCCUAACGUAUUGGGCCGCGAUUUCUUAAAUCUUAAACAAAUGAAUAUUCUUUUAUUUUUUUUAUUACACGAGUUUUUGACUAACUCAUUGUGAAGAAAAUAAAAUGUUAUGCCCUAACGCAUUGGGUGUGAUAUUUUUCUGUUCAAAAUUAGAAGGUCUUAAUAAAUAAUUUAAUUUAAUUAAGCAUGCAUUUUUUACACUCUCGACUUCAAGACAUUAAUUAAUCAAUUUGGUACCAAUUUUUGGGCGUUACGAGGGUGCUAAUCCUUCCUCGAACGUAAUUGACUCCUGAAUCCGUUUUUCUAAAACUCGUAGACCAAAGCCGUUUUUUAGGUGAUCCAAUCACACCUUAAUAAAAGAUUGGUGGCGACUCCCAAUUUGUUUUUUUUUAAAGUCAACAACCUAAAAUUUUUGUUUUCAAAAAAUGGUUUUGACAGCUUGGCGACUCCACUGGGGACUUUUUAAAUAAGAGAGUCGAGCCACAAAGUUGAUUAAAUUUUGUCUUACGGUCAAAAAAAUAUUUUUUUUUAAAAAAAGGAAAAUUUUCAUGAGAUCCUUUUGCAUUCAUUGUUAUUAUUUCUUAAUUGGUUAUUUUUGCAUUAUACAUCACAUGAGUUGAAUGAUUUACCUUUCUAAGUGGGAGUGAGAAACUAUUCCUUCGUGAGGUUUUCACCUCCGUAUAGGAUAGUGGAUCGCUUUCAGAAUACAUCGGUACCUAUGCCUUCGUGAGAUUUUUCAUCUCCGUAUAGUCAUAGGGAAAAUGUAUUCCCCUGAACCGAACUUGAUCUAUAUGAGCCUAUAAUGGGUGAAGAUCGAGGAAUCUGCUGGUUCGGGUACCUUUGCCCUAGAAGCUGAACUUCAUAGAGUGAACCUUAGGAAUCCAUCCUAGGUAGAACUAUACUAAACCCUAGUAGAUAUCUGAUUAGGUAUUUUACUAUUUCUUGGUUAUAUUUUAUGUUUUUGUAUGAUACUGACUUUUUGUGUUUUAUUUUGAUUGCAUGACAUGGCAUUUCAUUUCAUCAUAAAAGGCGUCAGUCCAUAUUUAGUUGCUAGAUAGAAAGCUUAUCAUGGAAAAAGGGUUUCUUGAUAAAGUGGAGGAAAAUGCGGCUGUCCGAACUUGGUCUGAAACAACGCAGCAAGAAAAGGGUGAUAGUUUGGCUGAUGGGUACGUGUCGUAAUUAUGAGACUCUACGCGUAUCAAUGUAACUCAAAACAAUUUGCAAGAAUUGAAGGAGAUAUGGGAUCAGUGGAAUGACGAGGUUAUACAACUAUUCUAUGAUAAUUAUGGAGAUUUGCCUUAUUUGCUUGACGUAAAGGUAGACAAGCGUUUGUUUCGAGCCCUCGCCCAGUUUUGGAAUCCUACUUACAGCUGUUUUACAUUUGGGAAGGUUGAUUUGGUGCCUACGAUAGAAGAAUAUGUGGCUUUACUCUGAUGUUCAAAGUUUCAAGUAGACAGGGUCUACUCGAGAGCGAUAAAUGUGCCAACCUUUUCAAAGAAGCUGAUGAGUAUAACAGGGAUGAGUGAGCAGUGGGUCGCUGCACGGAUUAAGCAAAAGGGGGAUAGUAAGUGCAUUCCUUGGAGAAGCUUGAAGGAUGCAAUUCUCACACACCCAGACGUAAGAAAGAGGUUAGAUGUCUUUGCUUUAAGUAUAUAUGGCUUGGUUGUCUUCCCUAAAGCCUUGGGGCAUGUGGAUGAAGCAGUCACUGAUUUAUUCGACCGGCUAGAUAAGAAGGUUACACCGAUUUCAAUAAUUUUGGCAAAAACUUUCAAGUCAUUGAGUACAUGCCGAAAGACGGGUGAAGGUAGAUUUAUUGGAUGUGCACAGCUUCUACUCGCAUAGUUUCACAGUCACUUUUGGAAGGUGGAUAAAGUUUCGUAUCGUGUUUUCUCUGAAAAUUAUUCACCAUUAAAGGAGAUAGUUACUACGCCGAGGAGAGACGACAUUUCGGAGGAGAAGUGGAUAGCAAUUCUUCAAAAUCUUCAAGAGGAGGACGUUGAGUGGAGAGCCCCUUGGUUGCUUCCAGAUGAGAUCAUGAAUAGGUGUAGUAAUUUUGAUUGGGUUCCUUUGCUUGGUAUUUGGGGAGCUGUUGGAUAUGCCCCAUUAUUGGUGCUAAGGCAAUAUAGGUCAAGGCAAUUUAUACCUAUGACCCAAAGGAUAGCUGAUUGUGAAUUUUCGUAUAAAGAUGAUGGUUAUAGAAAGAAGAUUCAAGAGAUGUCUAGUGCGUAGAAACAGACUCACCGAAUGAAGAGGUUAGCUGUGGGUCCGAUGACAACUCCAGAGUAUAAUGAAUGGUGGGUUAGAAGUGUAAUACCCAAUUUUAGCCCGGGCUCACAUAUGGAAACAUAAUUUUUGAGGAUAUGCAAUCUUGUAUAUGAUAUGCAAUCCUAGAUAUGAUAUGCAAUCUUAGAUAUGAUAUAUGCAAUCUUAGAUAUGAUAUGCAAUAUUAGAUAUGAUGUAUAAUCUUAUAUAUGAUAUGCAGUCUUAGAAGAUAUGAUUUUGUAAUCUUAGAGAUACCCUUUAAUCUGAGCCGUUGAUGUAAUUGAUCUGUACCGUUGGAUUUGGGGAGGCUCAACUAUAAAUAGAGGCCUCUCCUUUCAUUGCAAAAGAGAGAGAGAAAAGAGGAAAGGGAGGAAUAAAAAAAGAGAAUGAUUGGCAGUUUUUUUAAAGGUGGCUUACUAUUUUUUUCGUUCGAUUAUUUUUUACUUAUUUAGGAUUUUAAAAAAGGAGAAGGUGAUACCACUGCGAAUUUUAUUUAUUUAUUUUAUUUAGCCCCUCCGCCUUUUAAUGUUUUUGUAAUUAAGUUUUUUUUUAUAUUUUUUUAAUUUACCCUUUUAUUUAUUUUAAAUUCCAAUUUGAUCCAUUUGAACGGUGCCGUUUUAGAGGAGAAGGGAAAAUUUGCCUUCCAGCCCCUCUAUGUAAUUCGCGCAUUCAAAUUAAUCCUUUUACUUUUAUUUAUUUGCAGAUUUACCCCAAUUUUUUUAUUGCAAUUCAAUUUAGUUUUUUUUCUUUUCUUUUUUUUGUUCUUUUCAUUUAUUUUAUUAAUUAAUAACGUAAUCAUUAUUUUUAUUUUUUUUAAAAAUCUAUACAUGUAUAUUUUUAUGCAGAUAUUUUUUAACUUAUAUUUUUCUCACAUUUCUAUAUAUAUAUGUACGUAUAUAUUUUUUUAAUGUACUCAUUGUUUAAUUGUUUUUUUUAUCUAUAUAUUUUCCUUUUAUAUGUACAUGUAUUUAUUUAUUUUUAACGAAUAUUUUUCCUAUAUUUUUUUAAAUGAAUAUUUUCAUUUUUAUAUGUAUAUAUUUAUGAUUUUUAAAAUGAUUAAAUACUCACUUUUCCUUUUAAAACACACCCCUUUUUAUUAUUUUAUAUAUGCACGUAUAAUUAUAUUUUUCUUUAUUUUCAUAAGUAUAUUAUGUAUUAUAUAUAUGUAUAAAUUCUAUAACCCAAAAUUUUAUUUAUAUUUUUAAUCUUCAUAACUUCCAUGUGUAUAUUAUAUGUCUUCUGAUCUUUAUUUAUUUUGUUUGUUUUUCCUCAUUCAUUGUAUAAUUAUGUUUACAUCUAAUAUUUUGCAUGUCAUGAAUUAUUAUUUUUUAUUUCGCCCAUUCAUUUGUCUAUAUUAUUUUUUAUGUCAUUGAUAUAUUUAUCAUUGUUGUAUUUAUCAUCAUAAAAUUUGUACAUAUAAUAUAACGUUACAUCAAUUUUUUUACUCAAAUUUAAAAAUAUAAAAUUUUUUAAAAUUGAGAUAAUGUUCGUAUUUAGGAUUUUCAAGGAAAUUGAGCCCUAACGUAUUGGGUUCCGAUUUUCUUCGUUAAAUCUAACAAUCGAGCAUUUCUAUUUAAUCAAAAAAUAAAAACUCAUUAUUGGGAAUUCAACACGUUGUGUCCUAACGUAUUGGAUGUGACGCAUUGAUUUCUCGAAAUGAAGAUUUUUUAAAAAUAAUAAAGGAAAUAUUCCGAGUUUGGGAUUUUAAAGAAAUUGUGCCCUAACGUAUUGGGUGUGAUUUCUUAAAUCUUGGAUAAGUGGAUGUUCUUUUAAAGUAAAGGAAAUAUUCCGAGCUUGGGAUUCUAGAGGAAUCGUGCCCUAACGUAUUGGGUGUGAUUUCUUAAAUCUUGGAUAAGUGGAUGUUCUUUUAAAAUUUUAUUGUACAAGUAUUUUGGCCCCAAUUCAUUCUUGGGGAAAAAUUAGAAUGCUGUGCCCUAAUGCAUUGGGUGUAGUAUUUUCUUUCUCUGAAAUAAUAAGGGUCUUAAUACGUAGCCUUUUAAGUUUUGCUAAGGAUUACAUUUUUCCAAAUUCUCGACCUUAAGACACUAAUUAAUUAACUAGGUACCAAUUUUGGGCGUUACGAGGGUGCUAAUCCUUCCUCGUACGUAACUGACUCCCGGAUCUGUUUUUCUAAAACUCGUAGACCAAAGCCAUUUUUAGGUGAUCCAAUCACACCUCAAUAAAAGAUUGGUGGCGACUCCCAAAUUUUCAUUUUUUUUAAAGUCGGCAACCUAAAGUUUUUGUUUUUAAAAAAUGGUUUCGACAGCUUGGCGACUCCACUGGGGAAAUUUUUUUUUAAAAAAAAGAAGAGAGUCGAGCCACAAAGUUGAUUAAUUUUUGUCUUACGGUCGAGAAAAAUAUUUUUUUAAAAAAUCAUAACAUCCUUUCGCAUUGAUUAUCUUAUUCCUUAAAUAUUGUUUGCAUUAUACAUUUCAUGAGUUGAACAUUUUUACCCUUUUAAGUAGGAGUUGAAAAAAAUUUGGAAUCAAUGGAAUAAUGAGGCUAGGCAGUUAUUUUACAACAAUUAUGGGGACUUGCCUUAUUUGCUUGUUGUGAAGGUAGACAAACAUUUGUUUCGAGCCCUCGCCCAGUUUUGGAAUCCUGCUUACAGUUGCUUCACGUUUGGGAAUGUCGAUUUGGUACCUACGAUAGAAAAAUAUGUGGCUUUAUUCCGAUGUUCAAAGUUUCAAGUGGAUAGAGUUUACUCGAGAGCGGUAAAUGUGCCAACAUUUUCAAAGAAGCUGAUAGGUAUAACAAGGAUGAGUGAGCAGUGGGUCACUGCACGAGUUAAGCAAAAGGGGGACAGCAAGUGCAUUCCUUGGAAGAACUAGAAACAGUGCUGCAAAAUUAUGAGAUCUAGAUCAAGCGCUUGAAAGCAAAUGAAAGUAGUAAUAAUGAACAGCUCCACCACUUUUAGAGUCAUGUUAGGAGUAGAGAUCAUCUUAUGAAGGAAGCUGUGGUCCAAAUUCGAGAAGUAGCUGAUUACGUACAGAUUUUAGCAGUACAUGCUGACAUGCUAAGUAUGAAGUAUGAAUUAGAAUCGGAUCGGGGGCAAGAAUUAGUUUUGUUACUUAGGAAGAUCAAAGUUCUGGGUACUAGGGCAAAGUCUUAUUUGUAAUUCGCUUUAUGUAAAGAAAUUUGCUUUCUAGUAAGGUUUUCUUAUAUGGAAUUGAAUCAAAAUUGACGUCUUUUUUGCAUUCAUGCAUUGCAUUACUUCAUAUGCAUUUAAAAACAUUAAAAGAUUCUAAUUAAUUUACAUCAUUCCUCAGUUAAUCUGGAAACCAACCAGCCUACUAAACACCGCUACGAUACUCGAUCAAAAACUAAGGAUAUGGAUCAAAGGAUGGAAAGACUAGAACAAUCCCAAAAGGAAAUGCAGGAGCAGCUUCAAAAGAAAAUGAAUGAACAGCAAAAAAUGAUAGACAAAAUGAUGGAAUCUUAGGGGAGUAUGAUGGCUCAGUUAACUCAAUGGUUCAACAAAGGAACUGGUAAAGGAAAAGGCUCCAUGCUCAAUAUUGAAGAAGGAGACAAUGAGAGACCUGUCUAUCCUCCGGACUUUACCCCCAACAAAUUGAGAUAUACCCGCGUAGGUCCUCUGUUACCAUUAAUCCUCCGGGUGACGUUGCGACACCAAUGAACUUUCAAGCUAGAUCAGGCUCUAACCCUGGAGACAACAUUGCUAAUCCCGCUAUCCCUGACUUUGAUGAGACAGUUGAGAAAAUGAAUGGUAAAUUGCCAAAACAGCUCGAAGAAAAGUACAAAUGGUUGGAGGAAAAACUUAGAGCGAUGUAAAGUACUGAGGGCUACCAUGGAAUUGACGCUAAAGAAUUGAGCUUGGUUCCAGAUUUAGUACUCCCUUAUAAAUUCAAAAUGCCUGAGUUUGAGAAGUACAAUGGAACUAGUAGCCCUGAAGCUCAUGUUACUAUGUUCUGCAGACGGAUGACUGGGUAUGUUAAUAAUGACCAACUGCUGAAACAUUGUUUCAAGGAUAGCCUCGCAGGGGCAGCAUCCAAGUGGUACAAUCAAUUGAGCCGUACCCAGAUCAAUUCAUGGAGAAAUCUAGCACAUGCGUUUUUAAAACAGUAUAGCCAUGUGACUGACAUGGUACCUGAUAGAAUUACUCUUCAGAAUAUGGAGAAGAAGCCUGGUGAAAGUUUCAGGCAAUACACAUAGAGAUGGAGGGAGGUUGCUGUCCAAGUUCAGCCAUCUCUUCUAGAAAGAGAGAUGACGAUGCUUUUCGUUAUUACAUUGAAGGCCCCAUUCAUCACACAUAUGUUAGGGAGUGCAACAAAAAGCUUUUCUGACAUAAUCAUGAAUGGUGAAAUGAUUGAAAGCGCCAUAAGGAGCGGAAAGAUUGAUGCUAGAGGAAAUAACAAAAGGCAAGCCUCAAAAGAAAAGGGAAAUGAGGUGAACAGCGUGAAUACGAACAACAAAUCGAUUGCUAAUCAACAGGGUUCAUCAAGACAAGAAUUAGGUGUGAAGCCAGGUACUGAAAAGCUCUAGUUCACGCCAAUUUCAAUGUCGUACAAGGAGCUGUAUCAAAACUUAUUCAAUGCGCAUGUUGUUUCUCCCUUACAUGUGAAGCCUCCACAGCCCCCGUAUCCAAGAUGGUAUAAUGCAAGUGCACAAUGUGAUUAUCAUACAGGAAUUACGGGGCAUUCUAUAGAAAAUUACAUUACCUUUAAAAAUGAGGUUGAAAGGCUUAUCAAUAUGGGCCUUGUCAAAUUUGGCGAUUCAUCCAGUGCAAAAAAUUCGCUACCCAAUCACAUUUGAUAAUGGAGGGUGAAUGGGAUGUAUGAAGAAAUGUUGAAAGGUGUUCACAUCAAUGUCAUUUUUGAAGACACAAUUUACAAGGGUCCUUGAAGAUAUUCGCCCUUAUCAACUUAGAAGUGUUCUAAGUAAUUGAACUGCGAAAGAAAUCUCUGUAGUUUUUUAGAGCUUAUUUAGAGUAAUGUUCAGAACAAUUUUGUUAUUUUCAGCCUAAAAAUGAUAAAAGUUCCUUUGUGAAAUAGGCUCGUGUCUGAACGUCAUUUUUCUAAUAAAAUACAUCUUUGCAGUCAUUUUGAGCCAAUAUAUUUUAUUCUUUUUAAAUAAUUAUAUUUUCAUUCUUUCGGAUCUUCUUUCAUAUUAUUCUUUUAUUCAUUCAUAGUUGUACAAACGAUUAUUCAUACAUUCUUUUGUAUAUUCUUUGGUAUUUACUGUAGGUCCCCAGAUAUCAAUGACAUGAGUGAUGCUGUUACGGACUCAGAAGUUCCUUUUGAGUGGGAUUUGUGUUUAGAGGGAUCUCAUGACUUUAAAGAUGACAUAGAUUGUAGCCUAUUUUCAGACUUGUUGAGGAUGGUAGAACAGGAAUGAAAUCUUACUUCAUGAGGGGACAAUGGAGAGUGUGACCUUAAGAUAACGAGCAUAACCGAAGAAAUGAAGCAUGACCUUGUUGAGUUACUUCAAAAAGUUCAAAGAUGUCUUCAUAUGGUCAUAUCAGAAUAUGCUUGAGUAAGCACCGACAUUGUAAUCGGAACAACAAUACGAUAUCAAGAAUUUACAGUAUGUUCAAGAUUAACAUCAUGAAUGAUGCAUUUAGAAUUCUUUGUCGGGGCAAUGCCUUCUCCUUUGGCUCAUCAUGGUUUAGCCUGUCGAAGUCAAGUUGUCAUUUCUCCGUUGUUGGAUUUCAUCCUAAUUGAAGAGAAAGAUCCAAAGUUUUCGUCAUAGUUAAAUUUUACCCCAAAAUGCUCUAUGAAAGAAAUCUGAUCACAAAGAAGAUCUUACAUUGGUUCUGAUCGAAAGGGAUAACGAGGACUUGUCUAAUCCUAUGAGUUUAGAUUCAAAAAAAACAAAAAACAAAAAAACAAAAAAACAAAAAAAAAAGAAAAAAUGAAAGUGAUAAAAAGAAAAUAGAGAGGCCAAGGUGAAAACCCGCAAAGGGCACCUUGAGACCAAAGGGGAUUUGAGUUGAAAACCCGAAAAGGGCGGCUCAAAUAUUGAUCAGAAUGAGGCACAAGGUGAUCAGAGCAACUCGAAUUCUAACCAGAUUGGGGCAUGUGGUGAUCUUGUUAUACCUGAAUUAUCAGGAAAGGGUAGGCAACAUCUUGAGGUAUUGGUAGAGUACUGUGGAUCUCCUAAACACAUGUCAAACUCAGAAGGAUCUUCAAAAAGUUUGUACAGAGAAGUUCAAGCUGCGAUAUCUAGGGCACCCAAUUUGUAUACUAUUGAAUUUGUUAUUCUUGGAAUACUUCAUUCAUUUCAAAUAUAUAUGUUCCCAAUCAAUUUCUUUGUUAUCCUUAUUUUUGAUAAUCUAUUCCUUUCGAGCUAUGCUUAGAACUAAUUGUAUUCUCAUUUAUUGUUAUACCCUUUUUUUUUGCAAACAUGUUGCAUUGGAAUAAUGAUUAAUGGAGUAAUGAAACUUUCACAAGGGAAGUUUUGCAUAUUACUCUAGAAGUUUCUAAAUAGUACAGGAACCUAAAACAAGACUGUUGUUUAGAACACACCAUGUUUAAAGGUUGGAAAUUUGAAAAGGAAUAGUCUAAAUUAGGACUUUCUCUUUGGAUCUUAUUAUCAAAAACAUUGAUGAUAAGAUGUCGUGUUGACGACAAGGCUUAAAUAAACAAGCAAGCAAUGAUCACAAUCAAUAGAAAGAGGUUUCCUCAAAGAAGAAAGCCUUCAUUUGUGCGUGAGCCUUUGGUACGACACCCUGGGAAUGGUGUAAAGGACUAAGGAGUUUCACAUUCUGUAUCCUUGAAUUACAAUAGGAAAGGAUUGAGAGAAAGCCAGAUUUUUCUACCCUUGGAUCACAACGAGAGAAGGAUGGUUCAAAUUUUGUGUCCUAGAGGAUUGAACUUUGAACUUCAUAGUGGGGGCAAUUUGAUUAAGUGUUUCAUUGGAGAUGCCAGCCAAGAAGGAAAGUGUUGAAGACAAGACCUUAAUAAACUUCGAGCAAUGAUAACCUAAGUGAUAAAAAAAGACCAUUCUAAAAAAAACAUUCUACAUACAUGUCUAGUUAGGAGCAUUUGAUUCAUUUUGAUCAUGUCAUCCUAAUCAUUAGGCAUAGUUAGGUUCAUUAUAUAGGUCAUGCUCCACAGAGAACAAAUCAGUGAAAGAGCAGAUCUUACCUUCCUACAUUAACAGUGGAGCAGAUCAAAGACGGUGAAUCUUAUUUUUCCAAGAUAGUGGGAAGCAGAUUUAAGCCACCAAGCCUUGUCUCCCUAAGCAGCAACGAAGAAGGUUGAAGAUUGUAAAUCUUAUCUCCCUAAGCAGUAGUGGAGUAGAUCGAAGACGGUGAAUCUUAUCUUUCCAAGAUAGUGGGAAGCAGAUUUAAGCCACCAAGCCUUGUCUCCCUGAGCAGCAGCGAAGAAGGUUGAAGCUUGUAGAUCUUAUCUCCCUAAGCAGUAGUGGAGCAGAUCGAAGACGGCGAAUCUUAUCUUUCCAAGAUAGUGGGAAGCAGAUUUAAGCCACCAAGCCUUGUCUCCCUCAGCAGCAGCGGAGAAGGUUAAAAAUUGUAGAUCUUAUCUCCCUAAGCAGUAGUGGAGCAGAUUGAAGACGGUGAAUCUUAUCUUUCCAAGAUAGUGGGAAGCAGAUUUAAGCCACCAAGCCUUGUCUCCCUAAGUAGCAGCGGAGAAGGUUGAAGAUUGUAAAUCUUAUUUCCCUAAGCAGUAGUGGAGUAGAUCGAAGACGGCGAAUCUUAUCUUUCCAAAAUAGUGGGAAAUAGAUUUAAGCCACCAAGCCUUAUCUCCCUGAGCAGUAGCAGAGAAGGUUGAAGAUUAUAGAUUUUAUCUCCCUAAAGUUACAGUGGACCAGAUUAAAGCCGAUAGUCCUAUCUCCCUGAAGUUGUGGUGGAGCGAAUUAAAACCUCAGAUCUUAUCUCUCUGAAGUUGCAGAGAGCAGAUCGCAUCUAGUCUUAUCUCCCUGAAGUUGCAGUGGAGCAGACUAAGUAAGCAAGUCUUAUCCUCCUAAAGCUGCAGUGGGGCAGACUGAAGAUGGCAAGUCUUAUCUCCCUGAAGUUGCAAUGGAGUAGAUUAAAGCCGAUAAUCCUAUCUCCCUAAAGUUGCAUUGGAGCGGAUUAGAACCUCAGAUCUUAUCUCUCUGAAGUUGCAGAGAGCAGAUCGCAUCUAGUCUUAUCUCCCUGAAGUUGCAGUGGAGCAGACUAAGUAAGCAAGUCUUAUCCUCCUGAAGUUGCAGUGGGGCAGACUGAAGAUGACAAGUCUUAUCUCCCUGAAGUUGUAGUGGAGCAGAUUAAAGCCGAUAAUCCUAUCUCCCUAAAGUUGCAGUGGAGUGGAUUAAAACCUUAAAUCUUAUCUCUCUAAAGUUGCAGAGAGCAGAUCGCAUCAAAUCUUAUCUCCCUGAAGUUGCAGUGGAGCAGACUAAGUAAGUAAGUCUUAUCCUCCUGAAGUUGCAGUGGGGCAGACUGAAGAUGGCAAUUCUUAUCUUCCUAAAGUUGCAGUGGAGUAGAUUAAAGCCGAUAAUCUUAUCUCUUUGAAGUUGCAGUGGAGCGGAUUAAAACCUUAGAUCUUAUCUCUUUGAAGUUGCAGAGAACAGAUCGCAUCUAGUCUUAUCUCACUGAAGUUGCAGUGAAGCAUACUAAAUAAGCAAGUCUUAUCCUCCUGAAGUUGCAGUGAGGCGGACUGAAGAUGGCACUAAUUCCUAUACUUCUAAAGAUGUACCAAGGUUCAGCACGACCGGGCAAAAUUGGGCAUUUUUAAAGUCUUUGCUCCAUUCCUGUUACACGACAACGAGCAAAGACGGGCAGCUGUAAUACCCAAUUUUAGCCCGGGCUCACAUAUGGAAACAUAAUUUUUGAGGAUAUGCAAUCUUAUAUAUGAUAUGCAAUCUUAGAUAUGAUAUAUGCAAUCUUAGAUAUGAUAUGCAAUCUUAGAUAUGAUGUAUAAUCUUAGAUAUGAUAUGCAAUCUUAGAAGAUAUGAUUUUGUAAUCUUAGAUAUACCCUUUAAUCUCAGCUGUUGAUGUAAUUGAUCUGUACCGUUGGAUUUGGGGAGGCUCAACUAUAAAUAGAGGCCUCUCCCUUCAUUGCAAAAGAGAGAGAGAAAAGAGGAAAAAGAGGAACAAAAAAAGAGAACGAUUAGCAGUUUUUUUAAAGGUGGCUUACUAUUUUUUUUCGUUCGAUUAUUUUUUACUUAUUUAGGAUUUUAAAAAAGGAGAAGGUGAUACCAUUGCGAAUUUUAUUUAUUUAUUUUAUUUAGCCCCUCCACCUUUUAAUGUUUUUGUAAUUAAGUUUUUUUAUAUUUUUUUAAUUUACCCUUUUAUUUAUUUUAAAUUCUAAUUUGAUCUAUUUGAACGGCGCCGUUUUAGAGGAGAAGGGAAAAUUUCCCUUCCAGCCCCUCUAUGUAAUUCGCGCAUUCAAAUUAAUCCUUUUACUUUUAUUUAUUUGCAGAUUUACCCCAGUUUUUUUAUUGCAAUUCAAUUUAGUUUCUUUUCUUUCCUUUUUUUUUGUUCUUUUCAUUUAUUUUAUUAAUUAAUAAUGUAAUCAUUAUUUUUAUUUUUAUUUUUUUUAAAAAUCUAUACAUGUAUAUUUUUAUGCACAUAUUUUUUUUAACUUAUAUUUUUCUCACAUUUCUAGAUAUAUAUAUGUACGUAUAUAUAUUUUUUUAAUGUACUCAUUGUUUAAUUGUUUUUUAUCUAUAUAUAUUCCUUUUAUAUGUACGUGUAUAUAUUUAUUUUUAACGAAUAUUUUUCCUAUAUUUUUUUAAAUGAAUAUUUUCAUCUUUAUAUGUAUAUAUUUAUGAUUUUUAAAAUGAUUAAAUACUCACUUUUCCUUUUAAAACACACCCCUUUUUAUUAUUUUAUAUAUGUACGUAUAAUUAUAUUUUUCUUUAUUUUCAUAAGUAUAUUAUGUAUUAUAUAUAUGUAUAAAUUCUAUAACCCAAAAUUUUAUUUAUAUUUUUAAUCUUCAUAACUUCCAUGUGUAUAUUAUAUGUCUUCUGAUCUUUAUUUAUUUUGUUUGUUUUUCCUCAUUCAUGGUAUAAUUAUGUUUACAUCUAAUAUUUUGCAUGUCAUGAAUUAUUAUUUUUUAUUUCGCCCAUUCAUUUGUCUAUAUUAUUUUUUAUGUCAUUGAUAUAUUUAUCAUUGUUGUAUUUAUCAUCAUAACAUUUGUACAUAUAAUAUAACGUUACAUCAAUUUUUUUUACUCAAAUUUAAAAAUAUAAUUUUUUUUAAAAUUGAGAUAAUGUUUGUAUUUAGGAUUUUCAAGGUAAUUGAGCCCUAACGUAUUGGGUUCCGAUUUUCUUCGUUAAAUCUAACAAUCGAGCAUUUCUCUUUAAUCAAAAAAUAAAAAGUCAUUAUUGGGAAUUCAACAUGUUGUGUCCUAACAUAUAGGAUGUGACGUAUUGAUUUCUCGAAAUGAAGAUUUUUUAAAAAUAAUAAAGGAAAUAUUCCGAGUUUGGGAUUUUAAAGGAAUUGUGCCAUAACGUAUUGGGUGUGAUUUCUUAAAUCUUGGAUAAGUGGAUGUUCUUUUAAAGUAAAGGAAAUAUUCCGAGCUUGGGAUUCUAGAGGAAUCGUGCCCUAACGUAUUGGGUGUGAUUUCUUAAAUCUUGGAUAAGUGGAUGUUCUUUUAAAGUUUUAUUGUACAAGUAUUUUGGCCCCAAUUCAUUCUUGGGGAAAAAUUAGAAUGCUGUGCCCUAACGCAUUGGGUGUAGUAUCUUCUUUCUCUGAAAUAAUAAGGGUCUUAAUACGUAGCCUUUUAAGUUUUGCUAAGGAUUACAUUUUUCCAAAUUCUCGACCUUAAGACACUAAUUAAUUAACUAGGUACCAAUUUUGGGCGUUACAAGGGUGCUAAUCCUUCCUCGUACGUAACUGACUCUCGGAUCUGUUUUUCUAAAACUCGUAGACCAAAGCCGUUUUUAGGCGAUCCAAUCACACCUCAAUAAAAGAUUGGUGGCGACUCCCAAAUUUUCAUUUUUUUUAAAGUCGACAACCUAAAGUCUUUGUUUUUAAAAAAUGGUUUCGACAAGGAGGGUCACCGAUAAUAUACCCAUGAUAAGUCAAGAAAACAGCCAGUCAAUAGAGGAAUAUUUUUGAGUCGUCCCUUCUGAGUUGGAAAUCAUAAGACAAGAUUUUGAGAAAAGAAAUACAGAUUUAGAGAAAAAGAUAGAGCAAAUGGAGGAGGAAAAGACGAACUUGAGAUCGGACAUAGGCGUUAAAAAGCUCAAAAUAGAAAAAUUAAGGAAAAAGAAAAAUAAGGCUGAGGAAGAGUUGGAUAGCUUGAGGAUAGAUUAUAAAAAGUUACGUCGGUGAAUGAGAACUGUCGGGCUAGGGAAAACCUCAGAACAGUAGCAUGAAGAAAUUCGAGAAGAAAAGGACAAAGUUGAUAGAUGGGAACAGAAAUUCCAAGAGGUUCAAACAUUCAAUGAGGCUUUAGAGAAAAGUUUGUCAGAAAGCCAAAAGGAAAAAAGCGAGUUAAAGGACAGGGUGAUUGAGUUGGAAAAGUCACUUCGUUAGUAUCGAAAUCAAAACCCUGCAAUAGAAUUGAGAGCAAGCCUGAACAAGAUUAAAGAAAUGAGGAAAAGAAUAGAAGAGUUAGAGACGGUAAUGCAAAAUUGUGAGAUCUAGUUUAAGUACUUAGAAGCAAGUGACAGUCGUAACAAGGACUAGCUUUACUACUUUCAGAAUCAAGUUAGGAGCAGAGAUCAUAUCAUGGAGGAAGCUGUGGUCCAAAUUCGAGAAGUAGUUGAUUACAUAUAGACUUUAGCAGUGCAGGCUGACAUGCUGAGUGUGAAGUAUGAAUUAGAAUCAGAUCAGGGGCAAGAGUUGGCGUUGUUACUUAGGAAGAUUAGAAUUCUGAGUAAUAGGGCAAAGCUUUAUUUGUAAUUCACUUUGUGUAAAGAAAUUUACUUUCUAGUAAAGUUUUCUUAUAUGGAAUUGAAUCAAAAUUGACGCCUUUUAUUGCAUUCAUGCAUUGCAUUACUUCAUAUGUAUUAACAAAUAUUAAAAGAUUCUAAUUAAUAUAAAUCAUUCCUCAGUUAAUCUGGAAAUCGACCAACCAACCAAACACCGUUAUAGUACCCGAGCAAAGUCAGGAGGCAUGGACCAAAGAUUGGAGAGAAUAGAGCAAAUGCAAAUACAGAUGCAAGAGCAAUUGACUAAAUUUCAACAAGAAAUGAGGAAUCAAAUGCUAGAAUUCCAAAUAAAUAUGAUAAGCCAGCUAACCCGGUUAUUGGGUAAAGGGGUAGAAAAAGGGAAAAGCCCAGCGGCUCACUUUGGGAUGAUAAUGAGGAUCCUAUAUAUUCCCCAGAUUUUACCUCGAUAAGUGUCCAGGCCCAGCCAGACGCAUGUCCACAUGAGGCACUCUUUGCUAUCAGAUCCUGAUAAUGUCUGACUGGUACAUCGACACCAGUAUAUCGUCUGACAGACCCAGAAUCCAAUUUAGCUAAUCCUGUUGCUAUUGACAAUCCAGCAGAAAUAAAACAUGUAACGUAGAGCUUCCAGAUACUGUGAAAGCCUCAAGGAAGAGGGGAAAUAAGGGGAAUAAUGAAGGCAGAUAUAACAAGGGCCACUCAAAACCAAUCACUAUGGGCCGGUCACAGACAAAAACCACUAGCCAUCAAGGCCCUUUAAAGCAAGAACCUUACAUGAUGACAAAUAUGGGAAGGCUUCAGUUCACGCCUAUACCGAUGUCAUAUAGAGAGCUAUAUCAAGGUUUAUUUGAUGCACAUGUGGUAUCCCCUUUCUAUUUAAAACCUCCACAACCUCCGUAUCCCAAGUGGUAUGAUGCAAGCGCACAAUGUGAUUACCAUGCGGGAAUUACGGGGCACUUAAUAGAGAAUUGCAUUACCUUCAAAAAGCUGGUUGAAAAAUUCAUCAACAUGGGUAUUGUCAAGUUGGAUGACUCAUCUAAUGCAGGAAAUUCGCUACCCAAUCAUGAUUGAUAAUAGUGUGAAUGCAAUAUAUGAAGAGGUGUUGAGAAGUGUUCACAUACGAAGACACAAUUGAAAAAGGACAUUGUUAGAUGUCUGCCCUUAUAAAUUUGAGAGUGUUCUAAAUAAUUGGAUUGCGAAAGAAAUCUCUAUAGUCUUUAGAGCUUAUUUAGAGUAAUGUUCAGAACAUUCUUAUUGUUUUUAGCCUAAAAAUGAUAGGAAUUCCUUUGUGAAAUAGACUCAUGUCUAAACAUCAUUAUUCUAAUAAAAUACUUCUUUGCAUUUAUUUUGGAGCCAAUAUUCUUUCAUUCUUUGCAAGUAAUUAUGCUUUCAUUAUUUUGGACUUUCUUCCACAUUAUUCUUUCAUUCAUAAUUAUUGUACAGAUAAUCUUUCAUAAAUUCACACAUUCUUUUGUAUAUUCUUUUGCACUUACUAUGGGUCCCCAGAUAUCGAUAACAUGAGUGACACUGCUACAGACUUAGAAUCUCCUUUUGAGCGAGAUAUAUGUUUAGAGGGAUCUCAUUACUUUGAAGAUGACAUAGAUCGUAGCCUGUUUCUGAACUUGUUAAGGAUGGUAGAACAAGUCAAGAAAUAGAUCUUACCUUACAAAGAGUCAUUGGGAUCACUGACUUCUCCUUAUAUGGGGCAUGAAGGUCAGUUGGUCGAUCUCGCCAAAAGAGUCUGACGGUCAUUGAUUCAUCUUUGUGGUCGUCAAUUACUUUACUACAUGGGUGGAAGCUGCCUCGUAUGCCAAUGUCAUAAAGUCGAAAGUCAGCAAAUUCUUGAAGAAUCAUAUGUUAGUAUGGAACGCCAAAAGGAUCAUAUCUGACAAUGUACUAAAUUUGAACAACAGCACAAUAUCAAAAGUUUGCAGUCUGUUCACGAUUAAUGCCAUAUCGUUGAAAAAGGAUGGAGCAAAAAAAAAAACUCUGUCAGCGCGAUACCUUUCUCUUGCGCUCAUCGCAGGUUUGCCUAUUGAAGAUAACAUUCUUUCUCUCUGAGUUUUUGGAUCCAAUACCGAUUGAAGAGGAAUGUUCAAAGUUAUCUAUCAUGGUCAAAUACGCCAAAAGUAAAUGAUGCGAGCUCACAAAAAGGUCCACCCUAAAGAAUUCCUUGAGAGGGACUUGGUAUUGAAGAAGAUCCUUUCCAUACAAAAAGAACUUCAUCCCAAGCUGGGAAAGACCUUAUGUGGAAGGCAUUAUCCGAAAAAGCGUUGAUCAGAAGGUAUAACAAGGACAUGCCUAAUCCUAUGAGUUCAGAUUCAAUAAAAAAUAUUUCAAAAAAAAAAGCAAAAAAGAGAGGCCAAGGUGAAAAUCCGCAAAGGACGCCUUGAGACCAAAGGGGAUUUGAGUUGAAAACCUGAAAAGGGCGGCUCAAAUAUUGAUCAAAAUAAGGCAUGAGGUGAUCAGAGCAACUUGAAUCUUGAUCAGAUCGGGGCAUGUGGUGAUCUAGUUAUACUUGAAUCAACAGGAAAGAGUAGGCAACAUCUUGAGGCAUCGACAGAGUACUGUAAAUAUCUCAAACACACGUUAAACUCAGAAGGGUCUUCAGAAAAUUUGUACAGAGAAGUUCAAGCUGCGAUAUCUGAGGCACCCAAUUUUCAUACUAUUUAUAUUGAAUUUACUGUUCUUGGAAUACUUUAUUCAUUUUUAAGAUACACAUUCCCAAUCGAUUUCUUUGUUAUCCUUCUUUAUUAUUUUUUGAUAAUUUAUUCUUUUCUAGUUAUGCUCAGAACCAACUUUAUUCUUAUCCAUUGUUAUGGCCUUUUUGCAAGCAUGUUGCAUUAGAAUAAGGAUUAAUGGACUAAUAAAACUUUCACAAGGGAAGUUUUGCAUAUUACUUUAGAAGUUUCUAAAUAAUACAGGAACCUGAAAUAGGACUAUUUUUCAGAACGCACUAAGUUUAAGGAAAAGUCUAAAUUAGGACUUCCUCUUUGGAUUCUGUUGUCAAAAAACAUUGAUUGAGUAAAGUGACAGGAUGUCAGGUUGGUAACAAAGCUAAAACAAACAAGCGAGCAAUAAUCACCAGGCACUAGGAAGAGGUUUCCUCGGAGAAGAAAGCCUUCAUUUGCAGAUGAGCCUUUGACGCGACACCUUAGGCAUGGUGUAAAGGACCAAAGAAUUUCACAUUCUGUAUCCUUGAAUUGUGACAGGAGUGGAUGGAGAAAAAGCCAUUUCUACCCUCAGGUUGCAGUGGAAGAAUGAUGGUACAAAUUUUACAUCCCAGUGGAUUGACUUUGAGGUUUACAGUGAGGGCAAUCUGACUAAGUGCUUCUUAGGAGACGCCAGCAGAGCAGGAAGACGUUGUAGCACGUCAGCGAUAAAACCUUCAUAAAUUUUGAGAAAUGAUAAUUUGAGUGAUAAUUCUCAAAAAUGACAUUCUGCAUUUAUUCAAAUGUCAUUCAUGCAUGUCUAGUUAGGAGCAUUGAAUUCAUUUUGAUCAUAACAUCCUAAUCACUAGGCAUAAUUAAGUUCAUGUAAUGGAUUUUUACAGGUCAUGUUCCUUAGAGAACAGAUCGGUAGUCAAUAAUCCUAUCUCCCUGAAGUUACAGUGGAGCGGAUUAAAACCUUGGAUCUUAUCUCUCUGAAGUUGCAGAGAGCAGAUCACAUCUAGUCUUAUCUCCUUGAAGUUGCAGUAGAAAAGACUAAGUGAGCAAGUCUUAUCCUCCUGAAGUUGCAGUGAGGUAGACUGAAGAAGGCAAAUCUUAUCUCCCUGAAGUUGCAGUGGAGCAGAUUAAAGCCGAUAAUCCUAUCUCCCAAAAGUUGCAGUGGAGCGGAUUAAAACCUUAGAACUUAUCUCUCUGAAGUUGCAGAGAGCAGAUCACAUCUAGUCUUAUCUCCCUGAAGUUGCAGUGGAGCAGACUAAAUAAGAAAAUCUUAUCCUCCUGAAGUUGCAGUGAGGCAGACUAAAGAUGACAAAUCUUAUCUCCCUGAAGUUGUAGUGGAGCAGAUUAAAGCCGAUAAUCCUAUCUCUCUGAAGUUACAGUGGAGCGGAUUAAAACCUUAGAUCUUAUCUCUCUGAAGUUGCAGAUAGCAGAUCUCAUCUAGUAUUAUCUCCCUGAAGUUGCAGUGGAGCAGACUAAAUAAGCAAGUCUUAUCCUCCUAAAGUUGCAGUGAGGCAGACUAAAGAUGACAAAUCUUAUCUCCCUGAAGUUGUAGUGGAGCAGAUUAAAGCUGAUAAUCCUAUCUCCCUGAAGUUGCAGUAAGGCGGAUUAAAACCACAGAUUUUAUCUCCCUGAAGUUGCAGUGGAGUAGACUCAAGAAAGUAAGUCUUAUCCCCCUGAAAUUGCAGUGGGGGCAGACUAAACAUACCAAUCCUAUCUCCCCGACGUUGCGGUGGAGUGGAUCGAGACACCAAUCCCUAUACCUCUGAAGAUGCAGUAAGAUGGAAUGUGGCUACUUGAAGAAGAAGAGCACCAAGAUCCAGCGUGACCGGGUAAAAAUUUGUCAUUUCUAAAGUCUUUCCUCCGUUCCUGUUAUACGACAACGAGCAAAGAGGGGCAGCUGUAAUACCCAAAUUUUUACCCGGCCCACAAUAAACAAAUAAAGUCCAGUUUUUACAAACCGAUUUCAAAUGGUGGCCCAGUUACAAACGCGGCCCAAAAUAGAUGAAGAAACCCUAGGGUUUCUAAGGAGCAGCAGCACCGCAACCUUGCCCUCCAAGCCACCAACGUCCCCGACCUUCAUCUGCACACAAAAAAGGAAACAAACAGUAUAUGGAAAACAAAAUCGAAAGAUUUGAAAAUCAAAUCAAUAUAGGCAGAUUCGUUUCUUCAUAUAUUUUGAGAAUGGCUAUAAAAAGCCAUUAAACAUACUGUAAUCCGGAUCCAAUAAUCAAUAAAAAAAAGGAAUUUCCACAGCAAACCUAGAGUCUAAUACAAAGAGCAAAUCGAUUAAAAGGUUGAUAUUUGCAAUUUUAUUUUUUCUAUUUGUUAUAUUUUUUAUUCUACAUACAAAUAAAACACAAAAAACAAACAAAAGGGAAGAAACGACCUGAGUGGUGCCCAGAACCGCUGUGCAUGACCGGAAGUCGAAAGAUUUCUCAGAGAUUUGGUAUUCUUUUAGUGGUAUUUUGAGGGUUUUGGGGCUGAAAAUGAGUUUUGGGGCUUCGGAGGAGCCGGAUCUAAAGUUUCCCCCUUUUCCAGCCACCACAGGUGGCAGCGCCGGCGCCGGAGAUCGGUGGCCGAUGAACGGCCGAUGCCGGAUGACUGAAUAGGGGGGAGAGUUUCUUGAAAGUUUUUUUGUUUUUUUUUUUAAAAAAAGAAUGGGAAAUGAAAUUUUUGAUUUAAAUUUGGCUUAAAUAAGCCAAUAAAAACGACGCCGUUUGGAAUGAGGUGGGAUCCGCGCGUCGACCCGAUCCGGACCCAGGAUCCGCGCGUUUUUAGGAGGGGCAAAUUGCGUUUUUAGCCCCUCCGCCUUUUAAUACAUUCCCAAUUAGGUUUUUUUAUCUUUUAAAUUUGCCUCUUUAUUUAUUUGCGAUUUCAAUUAAGUCCCUUUUGAAUAGCGUCGUUUUAGAGGAGAAGGGAAAAUUUCCCUUCCAGCCCCUCUAUGUAAUUCGCGCAUUCAAUUUAGUCCCUUUAUCUUUAUUUAUUUAUGGAUUUACCCCAUAUUUUUUAUUUGCAGUUCAAUUUAAUUCUUUUUACAUUUAUCUUAAAAUUAAUUAAUUUUAAUAAUUUAAUUACUAUUUUUUUAUAAAUUUUAUAUGUAAUUAUUUUUAUAUGUAUUUUUUUAUGUACAUAUUUAUUUUCAAACAAAUAUUUUUAUAUUUGUAUAUAUACAUAUUUAUUUUUGAUAAUGUAUUUAUUAUUUUUAAUCUAUAUAUAUAUUUUUAAAAAAUAAAUGUUCUUUUAUAUUUAUGAACACAUAUAUAUUUAUUUUUUUCAAAAAUGUUUAAAUACCUACUUAUUUUAACAUAUAUUAUUUAUUUUCACCAAUGCAUUAUGUAUUUUGUUUUUAUAAAUUUUCUAAAUUCUAUAUAUAAAUUCAUGUGCAUUCUUAAUAGUUUUAAUGUAUAUGUCAUGUACCUUUUAUUCUUUAUUUUUCUUUAUUGUGUUUUCAUUAUUUUCUUAUCUUGCUCGUUUAUUUAAUAUUUUGCAUGUUAUUAACUUUUUUUCUCCCUUAUGUAUAUUUGUUUCAUUUCCCUAUUUAUUCAUAUUAUUUCUAUGCCAUUGUUGUAUUUAUUAUUGCAUUUUUAUACUUAAUGUAGCAUCACAUAAUUGUUUUUUACUCAAUUUUAAGAUUUUCAAAAUUGAGAUGACACUCGUAUUUAGGAUUUUCAAGGAAAUUGAGCCCUAACGUAUUGGGUUUCGAUUUUUUUCGUUAAAUCCAACGACCGAAGGUUGCUCAUUAAUAAAAAAUAAAAAGCUUGUUAUUGGGGAGUUAAAUAUGUUGUAUCCUAACGUAUUGGAUGUGACGUAUUGAUUUCUCGAGACAAAGGUUUUUUUUAAAAAUGAUAAUAAAGGAAAUAUUCCAAGUUUGGGAUUUUGAGAAAUUGUGCCCUAACAUAUUGGGCCGCGAUUUCUUAAAUCUUAAACAAAUGAAUAUUCUUUUAUUUUUUUUAUUACACGAGUUUUUGACUAACUCAUUGUGAAGAGAAUAAAAUGUUGUGCCCUAACACAUUGGGUGUGAUAUUUUUCUGUUCAAAAUGAGAAGGUCUUAAUAAAUAAUUUAAUUUAAUUAAGGAUCACAAUUUUUAAACUCUCGACUUCAAGACAUUAAUUAAUCAAUUUGGUACCAAUUUUUGGGCGUUACGAGGGUGCUAAUCCUUCCUCGAACGUAAUUGACUCCCGAAUCCAUUUUUCUAAAACUCGUAGACCAAAGCCGUUUUUAGGUGAUCCAAUCACACCUUAAUAAAAGAUUGGUGGCAACUCUCAAUUUGUUUUUUUUUUAAGUCAACAACCUAAAAUUUUUGUUUUCAAAAAAACGGUUUCGACAUCCACAAAUAAAUAAACACAUAUACAAAUACACAGUAAGAAAAGGAUAAUCUAUGACCUUAUACUUCCCAAGUAUAUCAUCCAUGUGACUAGACAGACCUAUCACUAUGUACUUAAGUGCAGCACGAGCAUGAGCUGUUGAGCGGCAGGCUCCCUGGCAGAAGAUUUUAAAAGAAAUAAUACAACUACAUUACAUAAGAGAAAUAAACAAAAUGAAUGCCGCAAGCAACAAAUUUCACUGCAUAGUGCAUGCAGAAAAGGAAACAUAAAGUUGAUUCCAAACUACUUAACACUCUCCUUUAUCAUUAGGACCAGUAAUAACUAAAACUAAUGAACCACCACUUCGGUUACAAGAACAGGACAACAAACAUGGAGCAAAUAACAAAUAAUUCCAGAUAACACUACGUUAAUCAUCGAUUGUAGACCAAUUGAUCAAAACAGAUGGGCAUGCCACUAUUUGAUAAAAAGAUUGUCUCUCAUGCACAGACAUUCCAAAUAAGUAAGAUUUCUAGGGAUCUUAUAUUCAUGGGUUGAUUCUCUUCGAAUACCAGGAAUGAUGCAUGCCUUAGCUACAGGUUUGCUUAUUUUUCAGUAUGAUGGGUUUGCAGUUUGGCCAAAGAGACAUGUAAACUGUUUAACCAUAUAACAUAAAAAGUUAUUAGAAAUCUAACUAGUUGCAAGUAUCACAUGCCCCCAACCAAAAUGCACAUUAAAACACCUUAAUAUGUUAAACUUCACCUAUCGCAUCCCUGAUAUUGCAAUGAUGCUAACUAUUAGGCAUUUAAGCCAGAUAGGCUAUAAUGAAUUCUGAACUUGAGAUAAAAAUUUUGAAACAGGAACCUUGCCAGUAAAAAAAGGGAAUGAAAUGCAUGCCACUUGGAAAUGUUGUUUCAAAACUAAUCUUAAUUGGAUAUCUUCAAAAUCUAAAAAGCACAGAAGUUCAUGGAUUUGUUUUUUAUUUAAUUCUCAACCAAGGCAUGGAAAGUGCAAGGAGACCAGCAAUUAACAGCAUAACAAGCAAUUCCAUACAUUUGUAAACUGUAAAUAUCAUACAUAUAAAUCUCUUUGGCUUAAAUUUUAUUCUCAUUCAAACACCUACAUAAAUGUCUUUAGUAAAAUAAUCAUGCCUUAUUACUUAUCUUUGAAUUCCAUUUUUCAAUUAAUCACUUUUUCUUUCAAAUUUUUGUACUAAUACCUGGAUUAUACCCAAAAGGUCCUCCAUGAGUUCCACCAUUAAAUCAACCUGAAGCCAUUAAGUUUCAAAAACAAAGAAAAUUAAAAUUUUUAUUAAAAGAACAAUUAUAAACUGACAUGGUAAUCGUGGUGCGUCACCAACCAUAGAUUAUACUACAAAGACAUGCUUCAGACCAACCUUUGCAAUGACCUAAGUUAUCCAAGGGGCUAGUACACCACAACAUAGAUCAAUCAGAACACAUGCAGCCUUAGCCUGUAGAAGAAGUUGAGAUCAAACAUAUUUGUUUCUUUGAGUACAAAAAUAAAAUCCACACAUCUUAAACAGCACUCAAUAUUGAUUCACAUAAAUUAUUUGGGUCGUUUAGAUAUGCAAUUACAAUCAUAAAGUCACCCAAAUAUGUAUUUACAUACAUUAUGUAACAUCUACCAUAACAAAGUAAGAAGGCUCAAUCAUAUUUAUACUACUUUUUAACCACGAUCGAAGACAUCUCGAUGAUUCAAGAGGAUUUACAGAAAGGGAAAAAGAAUACCUCUAAAAUUGACAAGACUUCCGUCUAAGCUCGAUUCGAGUUCUCAAAUUUCAAAACCCUAACGUCCUUCCAGAAGAAAAAUAAAACAAGAAAUUUUAAACCGUCGCCUUUGAUACCUGCAUCGACAGUCGACGAGCUGAAUUGGAGCCUGACUCCGAAUAGGACUUGGAGGAGCUGGAAUCAGAUGUGAAGAAAACAGCGGAAAGAAGUUAGGAAAUUAGGGAAAUCUGAUUCUGACUUGGGGAAAAAUGAAAUCGGGGAAAUCUGAUUCUGACAUGGGGAAAACUAAGGAAAUUUGGGGCCAAAUAACCUACUUCUUAUAUAUUAUAAUUUUGUUUAUUAAUUUUUUUUAUUUUACCCAAAAAAUGCACACCGCUACCUCUAAAUCAGUUUUUUCAAGGCAGGCUCUCUUCAAGCUAGUGCAACCCUUGAGGGAUUGGCCCAGUAAGCUGAUUGUCAUCUGCUGUGAAGUAUUCAAGUGAUCCACCAUGGCAAAUGCCUUGCGGCAAAUUUGUGUUAAUCAUACAGGUUUUAACUUGAAGCUUUAUCAAGUGAGUUUUGUUGUUUGAUAGUGUGAUGAAGGAGUUAAGAAUUAUAUUGCAGAAUAUUGCAACCUGUAUUUCCCGUAAGAUAGGAUUUGUUUGUAAAUUAGAUCAGAGGUUACGAGAUUAACUCUGUUAAGUUAAAAGAUCAGAGGUUACGAGCUUAACUCUGUUAACUUUAAUAAUCAGCUGGGAGCGUAGGUCCAUAAGUUGUCAAAAACCAAAUGUCGUGAUAUUAAAUCAAGCCAGCCAUAAGAAAGCCAAAAAUCGUGAUUGUAAAUCAGCUUGACAGCCCAAAAGAUAUAAGUCGGAUCUAUACUCAUACAUAGAGCAUGCAAGAAUAGAGCAGCAAUAUACUCCAUAAAUAGUAAACUAAUGUCCCUUAGGAAGGAGAUGAGAACCAAACUGUAGCACAUAACAUCGAUAUCAGAUCAUAUUUGGGACCAUAUAUUCCGAAAGAUCCACACCAGCUGUAAACUCAUAAUAUCAAAACUUUUAUGGGAUUGCAGAAAAGAACAACUCAAAUGGAUAUUCCGUGUCUUUUGGCAUUCUAUCUCAUAAAAAAACCUCAUCAUCAAUAGAUGAAUGCUUAUUCAUAUCGUAAUCUUCUAGUGCAAUGUUUAAGAAAUUUACAAGUUUACUAAAUGUUUGAUUUUCAAUAAAUUGUACUUGGAAAAUGCCAUCACUGAAGAGGUGUGGCGCAAAAAUCCAAGGAUGCUCCUUAUUGUGCAGUUUUCCAAGUAGCUUUUUCCUAUUGCUCACGUACAAUAACACUAUUUUGUUCCAAUCCAAGGUAUCGUGAUAGAUAAUCAAACUCGCGGGAGGAAAACAUAUUUGUCUGAAGUGAUACCAACAUAAAUAUGACUAUCUCAACAAGUACAGAUUCGACAAUCGUUUGAAACCCAUAGUUAUACUCGCAAAAUCCAACUUCAAAGGCUAUUUAUAACUUAUCCUAUAUCAAGAGAUGCAAGUGCAUGCAUAAUAAUCAAGAGAAAUCGUACAAACAUGUCAAUAUCCUAAAAAGUAAUAAUAGUAUGGACCCGAAUGAUUUCAUUAGUCAUUUACCUAAUAACAUCCUUCACCAAAUCAUUUUGCUGCUCCCUAUUCAAUCCGAUGUCUGAACUUAGUGUCUUUUCAGUUUAGAGACAACAUAUAAUUCCUUUACCUGUUUCAUUUGUUUCAUGUGAAACUAGACAUAAUAAUCUUCAAUUUGAUAUGUAAUCCAUCACCAAAUUCAAUUGCUAUGAUUUUUGGUAAAUUUUCAGACUCGCGUCAGUGUUGCUGCAGUAUUCUAUUUAUGGCAAAUUUCAUCCCUCUUAUGAGUUUUUAUGCACUAAGUAUCUUAAUAAUUUUCCUUAACAUCAAACAUAAUCUAAACUUACCAUUUUCAUAAUUUAUCAUUAUCAAAUAUUUUCUCAACCAUUCUGUCACCAUAUCAUAAGAUCAUUUACACAAAAUAAGUAUAUUGCUAUACAUGCCAUACUUAAAUUUACAAGCCAUUUACCAAAAAUCUUCCGGAUAGUGUGACUGAGCCUUCGACCUAUCCCGACUCCUGAACUGGCUUGUCCAAAACUACAAUGAGUAAGAAGGAGGGAGUAAGCAUAAAUGCUUAGUAAGUUCAUAUGUAAAUAAUAAAUAACAUAACAAACAAUCAAACUAAUCAACAUUAGCAUAUAUCAUCAACCCACUUAUCACAUUUUUUAAUCAUUUUUCAUCAUCUUAUUACCUUAUCGUGGUUGUAAUCAACACUCAACCCGAGGGUUAAAUACAUACCUGUCCAAAAUAUCAAUUUCUCAUCACUUACCAAUACGUCUCUUUUCAUCUCGAGUAUUCCUCCAUUUGAGUAAAACUUUACCCGUUGAACACAUCGGAAUAUAAUUUGGAUACAUGGAUAAUUUGCGUAUAAGUGCCACAUAUUCAAUCAAGCAAUCAUGUAAGCCGCCCAUAAGCGAACUCGGACUCAACUCAACGAGCUCGGGCGUUCGCAUCCAUAAGUGAACUCGGACUCAACUCAACGAGUUCGGAUGCCUAGUUACAUCUCACGAACUCGGACUCAACUCAACGAGUUUGGACAUUCGCAUCCAUAAGUGAACUCGGACUCAACUCAACGAGUUCGGAUGCCUAGUUACAUCUCACGAACUCGGACUCAACUCAACGAGUUCGGACAUUCGCAUCCAUAAGUGAACUCGGACUCAACUCAACGAGUUUGGAUGCUCAACCAUCCUAGUGACAUGUCACUUGUAUCCUAAUCUAUUCCUAAGGUUCAAACGGGAUUUUUUCCUCGAACACUUAUCCUUGCCGUCUUUCGUAGAAUGUCGAAAUCAAUACUCGGUAACAAUUAUAUUUAACAAGUAGUUCACAUAAUUUACAUAUUAUUUGAAAUUAACCACAAAGUAUACAUUUCAUAAUAAGAUUCAGCAUAACAUAUAAUUAACAUCAAUAACUUAAAAAUAACCAUUAUGCUACAUUAUUUACACAUGAACUUACCUUGGUACCAAAAUACAAAGAUUUUGCAAUUUAGUCCACAAUCUUUUCUUUUCCUCGAUUGAGGUCGAUUCCACGUCUUUCUUGAUCUGAAAUAACACAUUUAGCUCAUUUAAUACUCACAUUAUCAAAUUAAUCCUUAACUCAAAUUUUGGCAAAAUUACAAUUUUGCCCCUAAACUUUUGCAUAUUUACAUUUUUUCCCCUAGGCUCGGGAUUAAACUUUAUUCCUUAUUCUUAUGUUUUACAACAUGCUGAUCACUUUUCUCUUCUAUGGCAACAUCAAAUUCUCACUCUAACAUGUACUUGUGACUAUUAGGUAUUUUUACCGAUUAAGCCAUUUUACUCGUUUUUGCUUAAAAUCGAGUAGUACAAGUUGAUUGCAAAUGCUAAAACCUACCCAACGCUGUAAACAACUUCAACACUUGGUGUCAGACACUGUAUUUUCUUAACAGCUAAACCAAGAUCGAAGGCAAUUUCUUCUCAGUAGCAAUUACUACCCCAUUAGCAGCUUUGAUUCUAAGAGAUGUUUGACCCGAUUCGAUUGCAGAAAAGGGUGCUCGAUUUGAACUAGCUUUCCUGAAGGACAAGAUGCAACACUGAUGAGGCCAGAACGAUCGGUACGAUAGAUGAACUCAGUUUUUUAAACACUAUUAUCAUAAGCACCAGCUGUUGUCAAAAUUUUGAGAAAGGAAUAUCACUGCUAUUAAAGCCGGGAGCAACGCAUCUAACCAAUUGAGGGAAACCAUGUGAAUAGAGACAAAGUGCAGUGAAAGUCACAAAAGGAAACUCGUAUAAAAAAUAAUGUUGGAUUUUGGGAUCUAGCCAAACACCUACAAAUAUAAUUAUCGCAGAAAGCACAUGCAAAGCAAUAUAUAUACACACACACACAUAGCUAUCAGCUUAAAAAAUCAACAUUUUUAUUUACUGAAUAAACAAAAACCCAAAACUUUAAGCUUCACAUUUCCACAUCUUUUUUAAUAAUCUAGACCAUCAUAUUGAUAACUAAUAAAGAAUUAUAAAACUUGGCUUAAUCAUCAAUUUAAUCCGAUUCAACUUGCUCAUAUAAACAUACCAACCGAUUUUUUGUCUCAUUCAAAUUAAUAUAUCUAUCAACUCAUGAUUCAAUUGAUCAAAUGGUUGAUCAAAUUUCAACAAAUCUCUAACAUUUGAUACGAAAUAAUAUUAUUUUAUAUUCAUUAAAAAUAAUCAAAAUUAAUAAAUAAUUUUAAAAUACAAACAGUCACAUAUUGACAAUAUCUUUACUUUGGAAAUUAACAACUAAAACAAGCAAAUUACUAUUUAAAAAAAAUCAACCGUUUACUAAACCAAAACCAAAACCAAAUUAAAAAAAAACAAAGCUAGAAACCCUAAAACUACAAGCGAUUUUGGAUCUGGAAAGGCAAAGCUGAGGGUGAACCAUGAGCGGCGAUACUAGUGAUUCCUCCAGUUACUUUGAUGGGCGAGAGCCAGAUGAACUGAUCAGGGCCCUCGUCGAGAAAUGGCAGGGUACAGAUGGUGAAAAAACGCUCGGUUUGCACUUUAUUGAUCUGGAAAGCAAUAAAGUCUUUAUUAAGGCGAUGCCACCUGAUGCUCCUUCAAAUUCCACUGCCAUUUCCUGUGGCAACCACGUUUAUGUUAUUGGGGGAAUAUGCGAAAAUGAUGCUAAUCCUUCUUGUAAAGAUGAUGUAAACGAUGUUUUCCAAUUAGAUUUGAAGGACCUUGAACGUGGGUGGAGAAAAACUACUUCUAUGUUGUUCCCUCGGUCUUUUCCCCAUGUUCUUGCUGCUAAAGGAAAGAUUUACGUCUUCGAAUGUAUGGAUUCUGAAUCUUUUGGCGAGGUUUACGAUAUAAGUGGGGAUAUUUGGGAACCAUUGUCGCCCCCUCCGGAAGCUAUCGAUAUAAGUGUUUUAUGUGUUCCUGUUCUAGAUUUUUCUCGAUCUCGGAUUUUGGUGCACUGCUAUGCCAGUGGCACUCUUUACGCUUAUUACUAUGAUCGUAAAUCAUGGGUUUGCCUCGAAAAAAAUUUUGUUCCUGGUUUGACUCAGCGGCUAUCGUGGACGAUGUGCUGUAUACUUACAUUUAUAAUUGUUCUUUGGAGGUGUAUAAUUUGCUUGAUAAGAAACAUUUUCCCAUCAAAUGGUCAUCAGAAUUUCUAGUGGCGGAACCACCGGGUAGCACUCUGUAUCGUCUGGGCAAUGGCAAGCUUAUUUUGGGUUGGGUCAACAAUCUCCAUAGGGGUUUUGAGUGCAUAAGAUUUAAUAUUUGGUGCAACGAGCAGGGAGGGAUUCAUGCAGCUGCAGAGCAUCAAUCUGCCAUCACUGUUCCAUAUCCCGAAGAUAUUUCUGGUAUAUGGUUUUUCUGAAUGAAGGUUAGAGCCCCCUUCAUAUCACUACUACAUCAUAAUUAUUCAUUUGCCAAUGCUGCUUGCCAUGUCAUUUGGUUUGCUCUAAAUGAAGGUUAGUGCCCCCUUCACAUCACUACCACAUCUUAAUUAUUCCCAUCCUUGUACAUUGACGGAUUUUUCAUUUGCCAAUACUGCUUGUCAUUGCAUUUUGUUUGCUCUUGUUGUUGCUAAGAAGUUGAUAGUGAGCCUGGAACUUCCUGUAUAAAACUUGAGUAAUGCUAAGGUAUGGAGUAGAUGAAUCAGGUGUCGGAUUUGCAUUGUGUGAAAAUGUCUGCUUUAUUUGUUGUUUUAAAUGGGUACGAGGCUCCUAGCACCUUUAGAGGACUAAAACUCAAGUUCUAUCUUGCCUUACCCCUAAUAGUUGCUUCUAGUUUUUUGUUCCAACAAGAAAAUAAAAUAUCCUGAUCUAAACAAAGGCCUAAAUUCCUACUUAGGAAGUUGGUAGACUAUGACAAUGUUUCUGCCUAAAAUAUCAGAGCGAGGUCAUUACCUAUAGGCAAGUGAAGAUUUAGUAAAAUGAUGUCCUUUUGUCGGUGAUGGAUACCACACGUAGAAAUGCCAAUAUUGAUAAGGACUAUGAUAACCUUGAACAAUAAGUAAACAAAGUAAAGCUUGACUGCCAGUUAAAUAAAUUGAGAAAAAGAAAUUGGGUGGGUUGUGUUGCCCCAAGUAUGGCUCCCUUUUGGUAAUUAGGGUUGGCUUUAGUCGAAUGAUAUUGCCCAUAUUUUGUGCUGGGUCAGGGGACUAGCCAAAUGUGAAAGGUGUUAGUAUCCUGUCUAGGCUUGACUUGUGAGCAGGCCUACCUAUGACCAAACUAUUACUUACGUUGUAACUUCUGCUUGACUUCCAUCCCCCCAAUUACUUUUGAUAACCUCCAUCUUUCCCACUACUCAUGAUUGGUGUUACUUUCAUAUUAAUGCUUUGCUAAUAAAUUCCCAGCCCUUUUAACUUCACUCGAAAAGGCUAUACAGUUGUUCCAGAGACGAAGUUUUGGCUCUCAAGAAAUUCUGUACGAUUGGUACGAUCAUCAUGAUUUAACUGGCCUCAGGAACGUACAACCUUCAUCAACGCACUUGCUCCUUUUAGUCUUCCUUUCUGUCUUCUUGCAGCAUCUCGUUUUACUGAACAUAAAUUUUUGAAACAUGCAUAUGAUAAGAAGCAAGAUGAAAGUGCAGAAAACAUAACUAUUACUAAGUGAGGAUAGAUUUAUUCAAUAGGCUGAAUUUGAUUUGAGAUAGUGAAUGUUAUUACUAAGUGAGCUAUUAGCUUGUUGAAAUCAGUAAGAGAGUGGACAAAAUAUUACUUAAGAAUAUAACUCUAAUAAAUGGGAAUUACUUAGUCCUACAACUAGAGAAUUUGAAGUAGAGAAAAAGGAAUUAGUAGGGGACAAAAAUGUUUAUUUAGAAAUUCUUGUUAAAUAUUUUGCCAUCCUAUUUCCGGUUUUGUAUCGUAUGUUUUCUUGGAAAGUAAGAAGGUUUGGGAGCGAUAAUUAUAUCUGUAUUGUUUUUUCCUCGUUUCUUUGAUUUUGUUCUUGCGUGCUCGACUGAUGAAGCUCCAACACGUAAGAAGUCAAAAAUGAAAAUGGUAUGAAUUACAUAUGAAGAUGAAUGCUGCAGACUGCAGAUGUAUAUCUGAAAAACCAUUAAUAGAUUAUGGAGAUCGUUUCUCCGAUGUGUUUGUUUUGUUGGUAGUUGUGAGUUAUAAUAAUAAUAAUAAUCUUACUCACUUUUCAUUGCUGUAAAAGGUCAUGGAAGCUUUUAUUAUUAUUAACAACAAUGUUGGUUUUUAGGGUUCAUUUGGUGCCUGUUGAUGUGGUCUGCUGAUGGAUAUGUGUGUAUAUAUUUUUAAUUAUUAAUUUUAUGGAUCAGAAAGAUUAUAUUAUAUAUAAAUUAAAUAUACUUUAAUUUUGGCUAAAUGGUAAAGAAAAGCCCCCAGACUUUUUCAAAAAAUCAAUUAAGCUCCCUUAAUUUUUUUAUUUUCACUCAAUUGAGCCCUUGAACAAUUGAAUUACAAUCAAUCAAUCAAUCCCUUUAACUCUUUUCAAUUUUCACUGCAAUGAUAUAAAAUUAUAUUCUUAUUCUGAGAUUUUUUUUCCCUCCCUUUUAGGCCUCAGCUGGAACGUGUUGGUGCAUGGAGUUGAGUCAAGACCCAUGUUGAUGGUGAAGAGAGACUUUGAAGAUGCCGUCAAUUAUUUUGGUUAAAACUUUGAAGUUGUUGAUGUAAUUGGGUGCUUCCUUUUUGGAUACCGAAAUAUUGACAAAGUUAAAACUAUAUAGUAUUGUGAUUUUGCACUUUAUUCAGUUCUUUUAAGGCCAUCUCUCUUGCCCUUCAAAUAACACCCAUUAUGUGGUUGAAAUUUUUAUUUUUUAAAUUAAAUAAAUGUAUUUGAAAAUUAAAUUAAACCUUCGUGGUCAGAGGUGAAUUCAGGGGUUGCUAGGGGAUCGAAUUCCUAAAUUGGGAAAUUGUUAUUUUAGCCCUAUAAAAGAUUUUAAAAUUUUAAAAUAUUGAUGAGAGUGAUAUAUAGUGGUAAAUUUCAAAUUUUAGGUAAUUUUUCAUAUUAACCCUAAAUAAUUUAAGGAAUUUGAAUUUUUUACUAAAAAAGCAUUUAACAAAUCGAUGGAUUUAGAAAUAUUAAUGAAGGUUAUAUUUGGAAGUAUUUUAUUAUUCAAUUUAUGGAGCAUUUGGGAACUUAGUUUUAAAUUUUGGGUUUGAAUUUAAAAAUAUAUAUGUAAUGAUUGAGUGAUAACAUAUAUACAAAAUAUAACAUCUAUGAUUAUUUCUUAAAAACAAGAAUUUGUUUGAUUCCUACUAACUAGUUGAUUUGGGUUCCUAAGGUAUAUAAGAAUUUGACAAAUUCAUACAUUUUUUUAUACCAUUUUAAAUAUAUAGUAUAUUGAAACAAAUACAUUUAUAAAAGAAUAAUUUAAAGAUCAUCAUAUUAGAGUAACAAAUUUAGGGGUGUUUAAAUUUCGAUUAAAAUUAAUCGAUCAGUUAACUAAUCUAAUUCGAUCAGAGAUUGGUUAAUACUUUUUUGAAAGCUCAGUUAUCGGUUAAUUUGGCUCGAAAGCGAGUGAUUAACCAAAUUAAUCGAACUUAAUAACUAAUAUCAUAUAUUAUAUGUAUUAGGCUUAGCCUACUGCCCACCUAAUCCCCAACCAGCGGCUCACCCCAGCACUCCCAAGUCCUACCCAAUAUAAACCUAAUCUAGUAUAAUUUAUAAACACAACCCAAUUUAAAGUAUUGGGACUGAAUCCGCAACUUUCAUAAAAUACAAGUACUAAUAGAGAUAUUUAGCCGAUUAUUUUAACCUGAAAGUUUCAGGGAUGGACUUGCUCAAUUGGUUUCAGACAAGUCUAGAUACAAAAGCUUGGACAUAAGUCCUAGUUUCAAUGGCACAUUACCAGAAAGUUUAUUCCCAUUCAAACCAAUAUAAAGAAAAGAUGUCAACUUUUGCACAACCCCAAAUAGGAAGACACUACACCUUGAAAUUCAUUGUUAAGUCAAUGAAUUUUAGGUUCGGGUAAACACCUAAAUAUUUAGAUAUAUUCCUUCUAAGUCAGUUUUUUUCAAGGCGGACUUCCUUCAAGCUACUGUAAAUUUUCAACCCUUAAGGGAUUGGCCCAAUAAGCUGGUUGUCAUCUGCUGUGAAGUAUUCAAGUGAUCCACCUUGGCAAAUGUCUCGCGGCAAUUUUGUGUUAAUUAUAUAUUGAUAUGGACAAAUUUAGUAUAAUUUGAGGUUUAUAGGACCAGAUUAUUUUUAAAUAAUUAUAUAUAAUAUUAAUACCAUGUAUAAAAUCAACCCAGACUCCAACUAAUCUAGCCCCACCGAUCACCAUCAUAUGUAGUAUUUAGCUCAAUGAGUCUGAUAGCCGGAGGCAACUGCCAUUCCUUACCCAUAAUCACACUCAUUAAAACCUUAGAACAGAAUAGAAACAUAAAUGUGAUAUGAACUCCCCAUGUUCUGGUGUUGCUUCCCAUGUCACAAUUAGAAAACCAUUAAAUUUUUUAGAAACAAUUUUGAGGAUUUUAUUAAAAGCUUUAUAUCCACUUAGUUGUAGUAAUCUAGGAAUUAGCUCAGCCUAGUGCGCUGGAACUCAAUUGCAAUGGUCUUCUCACAACUUCAUAUGGGUAAAAUAGCCGUUAUCCAUUUUUUAAUUUAGUGACUUCCCAUAUUAAUUUAAUUGCAUAUAGAUUAAUUAUUUGAUUUAAUUAAGUGUUAUAAAAAUAUUAUUUGGUUGAUUUAAAUGAAAAAUCUCUACGAUAUGUUUUUGAAGCCAUUCAAAUCAAUCUCCACGAAACAGUUGAUCCAAUUUGCUUGAUUUAAAUAAAUCCAAUCUUUAAAAAUUUGUUGCUUCAUAAUAUCAACCUUCAAAUAUGGACUAAUAUAUGUCCAUAAUAUCAACUAAUUCAUGGCCCUACUAUAUUGUUUCAAAAAAUUACUAACUUCAAAUACGACAAAUUAUAAAACCUUGGGCACUUAUCAACAUAAUUGUAAAUACUUGGUGUCGUUGCUCUUACAAGUGCCUCAACAAUUUUAAAACAUUUUAUUUUAAAAGCAAUUUCAAUUGGAGUCUAUAGGAUACCAAACUAACAAAUUUAAUUUUAUUAGGCAUAAACUUCUAUUGCAUUUUAUUAGAGUUCAUUCAACUAGAGGUGAGUAUUCAGUCGAGUCGAGUUAAGAAAAUUCGAGUCAAAUCGAGUCGAGUGAACAAAUCGUAUUAUUUAUGCUCAAGAUUGUGUUUAUAUGGACCAAUUAUUUAACUAGUAGACAAAGUAUAUGAUUAUUUAACUACAUAAACAAUAUAAUGAUUUUGCCUUUUGACUUAAUAGGUAAACAUUUAUCAAAACGAAAUAGUUUUACCUUUUAACUUAAUGGUUUUGACUUUUAGCUUAGAAAAUGUAAACAUUUAUCAAACGACGUAGUUUUGCAUUUUCUUAGUUUGAUUUUCGGAUAACUCGAAUUGUAUAAUUCACAUUUGAGUUAAACCAAAAAAUUUGAUAUUUUUAUUCGAGUUGAUCUGAACAACUCGAUUAACUUGAAUUGUUUAACUUAAAAUUUAAGUUUUUUAUCAAUUUUUUCGAGUCGAAUCGAAUUUUGCUCACCUCUACAUUCAACCAUUUCACUCCAAUCUUGAAACAUUAGAUUUAUUCGUGGGUCGAGUUUAAAUAAAAUAUAACAUGUUAUUUGACUGAACUUGACUUUACUCAAAGCGUAACGUUACUUUUCUACCCAAAUUUAACUCAAAUAAGUUUGAAAAAAAUUCGAGUUUGACUUGAUCUGCACUAGAUGUGAUUAUGGGAUAGGUUGUAAUGAAAUUUAAGGCCAGUUUUAUAAGCCGAGCCCAGCUCGACCUGAUACCAAAAAUUGGCCUAAAUUUUUGUUCAAACUUGGUCUAGAUAAAAAAAAGUUAAAACUCGAGCCCGGCUCAAUCCGCCGUGUUAUUAUAUUUAUAAAUAGAUUUUAAAAAUAUAAUAAAUCAAAUAUAUUAAAAAAUUAAAAUAAAUGUUUAUCAACAAAUUGAAAGUAAAUUAAAAGGAAGUAUUUAUACUUAAAUAAUAUUGAGAUAAGUGCCUCUAAAAAUAAAAUAGUAACAAAAUUAACAAUAAAACAAAACUAAUACAAUAUCCAAACAAUAAUACAUAGUAAUAUAAUAGUGAAAUGGCACUACACCAGAACAGGUUUUUAGCGGCGUUUUUUUAGGCAUUUAGCGGCGCUUUUUAGCGUCACUAAAGAUGUUUGUGGCGCUUCCACAAGCGCCGCAAAAAAAGCCGCUAACGACAACGUCGCUAACGUUUGCAGCGUUUGCAGAAAAAAACGCCACUAAAGGUCAUGUUCUUUAGCGGCGCUUACAAAAAAACGCCGCUAAAGAUCAUGUUCUUUAGCGGCGCUUAAAAAAAGACGCCGCUAAAGAUCAUGUUCUUUAGCGGCGGUAAAAUAAAAACGCCGCUAAAGAUCUUGUUAUUUAGUGGCGCAUGAAGAAAAACGCCGCUAAAGAUCAUGUUCUUUUCGCGGCGCUUUCUUCACAAACGCCGCUAUAGAACAUGACUUUUAGCGGCGCUUUUAUAAAAAACGCCACUAAUUUUGGGAUUUUUGUAAAAUAAAAUUUUCUAUUUUUUCAGCCCUCCUGUAACUACAAAUCAAAAGCAACCAGAUCUAAACCAGCCAGAAGCAAUAAAUUUAUAUAAUAUUUCAAAUUAAAUAAAUAAAAUAAUAUUAAUAUCAAUAAAUAAAAGUGAAUUCAUACUUUUUUUUUACAAAAAUGUUAAAAGUUAAAAUGAUAAAAAUAUUUAUGCAAUACACUAUGACGGCGGAAGUUGCGAUUGCUGAAACAUCUUCAUUAUACUCUGAAGCUGCUUUUGAAGUUCGUCGUGCUUUUUGCCCUGCUCUGCUUCUCUCGAUGCCGCAUCUGCUUUAAGUUGUAGCUGGAGUUCUUCAUAUUUCUUUUGAACCUCUGCUUCUCUCAUUGCUUCUCUAGCUGCAGCCUCUGCUUCCCUCGUUGCAGCCUCUGCUUCCUUCGCUGCAGCCUCUGCUUUAAGUUGCAGCUGGAGUUCUUCAUAUUUCCUUUGAACCUCAACUGUGGUCGCUUGCAUCUGAGCCAUUUGGUCUUUUAAUCUCUGAACUUCAGCUUGAGCCUGACUCCCCGAAGCCAUGUAUAGCUACGAGCUGGAUCCGAAAUAUUGGGUUGGGCUAACAAAAGAUCCUUGAAAUCGAACCCGAUCAUACCUUUCAAGACCCAAAACUUCAGUAAUAAUUCGGUUAUCAAUGUCUUCAAGAUGAACAGAACUAUAACUAGAAACAACCGCUUCGUACUUCGCCUUUUUAUCCUUUAGUUUUUCCUAAUAAAUAAAUCACAUAGUUAGGAACGCAAUAUAUAUUAAAAAAACAAAUGCAACAUAAAAAUAGUCGCAUUACAAACAAUGAAUUAAACAAUUAGAAAAUAAACACUAUAAAUAACUAAAACAAGUCAAAUCGUAUUAAGUAAAUGUACCAUAAUUUCACCAGCUUUAGGAGUCAUAGCAGAUCCAUCUUUCUUCCUAUGUGUAAUUUCAAAAAGUUGAAGGCGUCCAACUUUUUGACCGGACAACAGUUCCUACAAUAUAGUAGUAAAAAUAUUAUUUAAUGGAAAGUUAUACGUAUUUGACAAUAUUAAAAAAUUAAAAAUACCUCCGCCUCAACUACACAUGCAAAACUUCUCGACCUGGCUAUGUGAGUGAAUUUUUGUUGCUGCCUGUUGCUUUUUCCAACUCGUUCACGAUCCUACAUUAUGAAAUUUUUAGUACGUAAAUAGUAAAUACUAUAAAACAAAAUAAUUACAAUAGUUUUAACGUAUGUCAUACCUCGCCUUUCUUCAAAUGCCAAAAUCUAACCGCAUCUUCCCAUUAGUACCUCAGCAUACCCGGCGGGACAUUUUGCAAUUUCUCAUCGAGGGUUGUUUUUGUCUUAUAAUAAUGUUUCUUCAAAGUAAUUUUAUGGUCUCUCCAUCUUUUUCCCAAUGCCUUCUUUACAUAAGCAUCCAAGACCUCUAAAGCAAACCUCGCCUACAAAAAACACAAGUUAAUAAAGUAAAUAUAAAUGAAACUAUUUCCCAAGCAUUACAGAUGACAUUGACAUUUUGUUACCUUAAUAUUAUCGAGGGCUUGGUUUUUGUUGCUAUCAGGCAUUUGACGCCAUGACUCGUAGUUGAUAGGUAACAUAUUCGCAUUUCGUGCUAAAAUGCCCAUGUAUCCUUUUAAAAGUCGAGCUUCUGAUCCAACAGGCUUACCAAAACUGUUUCUGCAUACCUUGACACGCUCGACUGGAUCUAACUCGUAUAAAUCUCUAAGUAGCGUACGUCCUCGACCUCUGCGCGUCCCACCAUUUUCAGCUGCAAAUGGUAUAUUACAAUAUAAGAAUUUGAGAAAUAAAUCAAUUAUAAGUCAACACGCAUGUAAAUUAAAUGUAAAGUUACUUUGAACUUUUGUAGGAUCCUCAGGUGUAAUCAGAAAAUUUGAAGAUCCAACUACUGUCUGUUGUUCAGUACUAUUUGUUCCUGUCGAGUUUGGAUCACUUUGAACAAUGCUUCCCCUUGGAAUUUUUCUUCUAGGCAUUUUAUCUGCAGUACACAUAAAAUAGUUGAAAACUUAAUAACUAAUUACAACAAUAACAGCACAUAUAAAAUAGUUGAAAUAUAUAAUAAGACCAAGAUUUAAAUAAUGAUAUUACAUAUAAUUAAACAAUCGUAAAAUCUUACUAUGUCAUUAUUCGUAAAUAUCUUCAUCCGUAUCCUGACGAACCCAUUGAAAUUGUGUACUAGUACUAGGGAUAUUAUCGUUUAAGUUUUGUUCUAGAAAGGGCAAAGUUUUUGAUCUGUCGUCGAUGUUAUCUCUACUUCCACUGCCCAUGUCAAACAAGUCUUUAGGGAUGUUACGGAGUACAACGUACCAACCCUCAUCAGUUGGAUCUUUUGAGUAAAAAACUUGUUUGACUUGAGAAGAGAAUACAUACGGCUCAUCUAUUAGUUGUUGUCCUGUGUGAAUCAAUCGAGCGAAGUUCACCAUUGUAAAACCAAAUUGAUCUUGCUUAAUUCCAUGAGCAGUAUUAACAUCGACCCAAUCACCUCGAAAUAAUACUACUUUCCAUUUGUCGUAGUAAUCCAACUCAAUUAUGUCAGCAAAAAGUCUGAAAUAUUCCACAUUUCCCUCGAUAGGAUUAUUGUCCCUGGCACUAGCUUAACCUGUAAUUAAGGAAUUAACAAAUAUUCCACAAUUUUGCGUUCUCCUCAACCUCUCGCGAUAUUUUGUAUGAAAUCUGAAUCCGUUGAUGAAGAACGUACUAUAUCUUUUAACCACUCGAUUUGGACCUUGGGAGAGCCAUUUAACUUCGUCGUUUACGUUCUUCCCACUCCAAACCUAUUAAAUGGAAAGUAAACUGAGUAAUUAAAAAUGUUAUGAGAAAACAUUAUUAUUUGUAAGCGGAAGCUCCAACUGCAUACCGUUUGGCUUAACCAUUCAUGAAAAGAUUCUGUAAACAACUUAUUGAUAUCUCGAUGUUGUGUUCUUUGAGAGCGCGAACGAGAUCUCAAUAUUUGUUUGUACUCACUACGUUAAAAAAAUGUUCACUUUGUUAGAAGAUAAUCAAUUUUUAAUUUGAUAAAUAUUUAUCAAAUUUGUAGAACUUACUUCCGUAAAGGUUCCAUUGAUUCGUGGUGAAACAGAACAUUCGAUGUGCUUGUACCCAUGAUAAAUGAUCUAAUUCUGCAAUUUCAACUUUGCCAAUUGGUUCUCCAAAACUUUGGAACAAAUAAGUAUUGGCGAUGUUAUGGUCCGUGAGUCCAGCAUUCCUAUUUGGUCAACAUCUUCCAAAUAUCUUGAGCAGAAGGUCAUAUAUUCCUCUGGCAAGUAGCCUUCAGCAAUCGAUCCUUCUGGAUAUCGCUUGUUGCGGCAGUAAGACUUUAAUUUGGAUAGGAACCUAAACACAAUAUACAACACUAUCAAAAGUUGUAACUAAAGGCAUAAAGGUGAAUGAAGGAAAAUUUUAAAAAUUUUAAUUAACACCUUUCUAUGGGAUACAUCCAUCGAUAGAAAAUGGGUCCGCCAAGAAUUGUUUCAUGCGGGAGAUGGAUUAUCAAGUGAACCAUAAUGGUGAAGAAGGAAGGUGGGAAGAUUUUCUCCAUGUUACAUAAAGUCAAAGCGGCUCGAUCCUGUACCUUCUGAAGUUCUUGAACAUCCAAAACUUUGCCACAAAUGGCUUUCAUUAUGUUGGAUAGUUCAAUUAUACAAGACGUCACCUUCUUGGACAUAUAACAUCGUAGAGCAACUGGCAGUAAAUCUUGCAUCAGGAUGUGAUAGUCAUGUGAUUUUAGCAAAUAUAAUCUUCGAUCUUUAACACUAACACAUCGAGAUAUAUUUGAUGCAUACGCAUCUGGAACCUUUAUAUCCUUCAACACCGUGCAGAACACUUCUUUCUCCGUCUUUGACGUUGAAAAAUAGAAAGCAGCAACCGAUAUUUCCCAUUCGAAAGUAGAUUGGGAUGAAGAUCAGGCUGAAUUCCCAUUUGGACUAAAUCAAGUCGACUCUGAAGAUUGUCUUUUGAUUUUCUGUCGACAUUCAAAAUUGUACCCACAAUGUUCUCGCAGACAUUUUUCUCAAUGUGCAUAACAUCAAGAUUGUGUCGUAAAAGGUGAUGCUCCCAAUAAGGCAACUCAAAAAAAAAUACUUCUUUUUUUCCACAAGUCCGCCUCAUUAGGAUCGUCUUCUUCAUCAGAGUCAUCAUCAGCUUCAUCAUUUGAUCUUCUAUUUCUUUGCGUGUUUGGAGGUUGUUUCAUCUUCCUAUAAAUGAAAUUCAUAUCUUCCAACAUAAACAAAAUUUCAGAGCCACUGGUCUGUGAAGGAGCUUCUCUGAACUCUUCAGUACCGUCAAAUACAGAACUCUAAAAUCUAAAUCUAUGAUUUUUCGGUAACCACUGACGAUACCCCAUGUAAGAGAACUUCUUCCCAUUGUACAACCAUUGCGAACAUGUUUGUGCAACACAACAAGGACACGCAUAACGACCCUUAGUACUCCAACCGGAUAAAUUGGCAUAAGUGGGGAAGUCAUUAAUGGUCCACAUCAAAGCUGCACGUAAAUUAAAGUUCUCCUUUCUCAGCACAUCGUAUGUCUCGACACCAUCCCAUAAUUGUUUUAACUCUUCAAUAAGCGGCUGUAAAUAAAUGUCGAUAUCAUUCCCGGGCCCUUUCUCUCCAGGGAUAAUCAUAGAUAAGAUAAUGGAAGAUUGCUUCAUGCAAAUCCAUGGAGGCAGAUUGUAAGGAACAAGCACUACUGGCCAAGUACUGUAUGCAGUGCUCAUGAUCUUGAAAGGAUUAAAUCCAUUAGAUGCUAGCCCAAGCCUGACACUCCUAGGAUCGCUUGCAAAGCUUGGAAAUUUAUUGUCAAAUGAUUUCCAAGCUAAAGAAUCUACCGGAUGCCUUAUUAAUCCAUCAUCGGUUCGUCCAUCAUGGUGCCACAUCAUUGACUCCGCUGUCUUCGACAACAUGAAAAGCCUUUGAAGUCUUGGUAUCAACGGAAAAUACCGUAAAAUCUUGACUGGCUUCUUUCUUGACUGUGCAUCAUUUUCAUCGUCGUUCCCAUCUUCUUUGUUUCUAUUUAUCCAACGGGAUUCGCCGCAUACAUGACAACACUAUUGGUUUUUCCGAUCGGCCCAAUAUAACAUGCAGUCAUUCGGGCAACUAUGGAUUUUGUUGUACCCAAGGCCAAAAUCUUUUAUCAUUUUCUUCAUAUCUUUGCAUGACUGAGGGAUUUUUGCAAACGAAAACAUUUCUCUCAAAAACUCUAACAGCAUUGUCAAUGAGUUUCUGGUCCACCCUCCUAAACAUUUUAAUUGAAAAAGACGAACACAGAAUGACAUUUUUGAAAAUUUUGAUCCCUCAUACAGUUCUUCGUUCAUCUCAUUAAGUAGCGCAUAAAACUUCGCCGCUUCUCUAUUCGGCUCUUCAUGAGGUACACUACUUCCAGGUUCGAUAAAAGCAUUUCCACCAAUAUUACAAUCACCAGAAGCCACAAAGUCCGUUGGGAACGACUGGACACCAUGAUUGUGCAUAUUAAAUGCAUCCCGCAACAUACCUUUCAUGUCAUCCCCUCUAUCAGACUGAUGGUAAGCAGUACCAAAAUAAGAUACAUCCAUCCUUGAAGAGGAAAUACUACGCAUGCAUUCUCCAUGAAAUAACCAUUGUUUAUAACCCCGAACAAACCCAUCAACAAUUAGAUGCUCGUAUACAACUUCACGAUAAUGCCAGUUGAUGUUGACACACUUCUUACACGGGCAAAGAAUCAUGUUCUCCUGGCUUGCAUAUUGAAAUGAAAAAUCUAAAAAAGUUUGUACUCCAUUCCGAUAACCGUUGCUUACCCUUGACAAAUUCAUCCAAGACCGGUCCAUUUCUUAAUUCUUUAGGUCUGAUGUUGACAAAAAAUUGCACGGGUUUAGGAUUUAGGGAUAAGUAUAACUAAGCUAUGUAAGUUAUUAUGUAAGUUAAUAUUUUUCUCAAUGUAAGUUAUGUAUAUAUUAUAAAAGAUAUGUAAGUUAUGUAUUAUGUAAGUUAUAUAAGUUAUGUAGGUUAUGUAUUAUGUAAGUUAUAUAAGCUGUGUAAGUUAUUAUGUAAGUUAAGAUAUAAUAUAUGUUGAUUAUGUAUCAAGUAAAUUAUGUAAGUUAUGCAUUAUGUAAGUUAUAUAAGUUAUGUAAGUUAUAUAAGCUAUGUAAGUUAUUAUGUAAGUAAUGUAUUAUAUAAGUUAUGUAUUAUGUAAGUUAUGUAUUUAUUUAAGUUAUGUAUGAUAUAAGCUAUGUAAGUUAUUAUGUAAGUUAUGUAUUUAUUUAAGUUAUGUAUUAUGUAAGUUAUUAUGUAAGUUAUAUAAGCUAUGUAAGUUAUGUAUAAUGUAGUUUAUGUAGGUUAUGUAAGUUAUGUAAUGUGUCAAUAUUAAAAACAUUAAUAUAUAAAUUUUAAAUAUAUAUUAUUAAAACUAUAUAUAAAUAUUAAUUAGUUAUGUAAUGUGAGUUAUGAUAUAAUAUGUAUUAAGUUAUGUAUGUAUGUAACUUUUGUAAGUUAUGUGAGUUAUGUCAAUUAUGUAUUAAAUUAAAAUACAAGUUUUGAUAUGAUAUAUUUUUUAGCUUUUAUUAAUUCAAAGAUCAAAAUAAGUUAAAAAUUAGCAAAAAGACUUUGACUUGGCAUUUAUAUUUACAAUUAAUUUGUUUAUAUUUAUCAAAACAACUUUUGUUAUUAAAGAAAUAAUACUUUGAUUUGGCAUUACAAAAUAAAUAUAUUUGGACCAAGUAUAAUAUUUUAAUAGCAUAUAUAGCUUAAAAUUUAGGGUUAAUCUGCCUUUAAUGCUUUUAAUUUAACAACAAUUACUGUCAUUUCACAAAUUGUUUCCGUUGGAAUUUAAGAUUUAAUUUGUUAAAUUAAUUAUUUAAUUAUUAUUUAUAAUGAUUGAUUUUAAAUUAAUUAUUUAAUUAGUAUUUGUUAAAUUGUUUCCGUUGGAAUUGUUUCCGAAAUAGCCAUCACAUUAUCAACUAAAGAAGUCUCAAUGAAAUGUGACCUUAUCUUGUAUAAUGUAAAAAAGAUUUCGAUUUACAUUCACUUGAACAAGGUACAUGGAAAAAGAUGUCUCAACAUUUGAAAUUAUAUUGCAAAGCACACCAUUUAUUGUUGCACCAACAAAAUGUAUAAUUUAAUUUUUACAAGAAUGACAGCUAGGUAUAAUACGUGACAGUCCAUUUGGGUUCUCUUAAAAUAAGCCAUUACCUAUAAGCUCAGCUGUGUCAUUACAUAACAAUGCUCAAAACACUCAUAUUUUACAAUGAACCACUAGCAAUGGCUACUGCUAUCAACAAACAAGCCUCAUCUUUUUUUUAAAACUAGCCCUUCUUUUUUUCUUAACCAUUUACCUAAAGCUUCAUGUUUUUUUAAAAACCACAUCCCCUCAAUUUGCAACUUUUAUCAUAAAGCAAAGCUCAAAUUUAUCAUAAAAUGAUGCUCAAAUUAUGCAAGUUAUGAAAAACGAUAUUGCAUAAUGUAAGAACAAAAAGAAGAAAAAUGAUAUUAUACCUAAUAACUUGUUAUUAGAAUCUAACCGCAGCUUCCAGAGUGGUCAAGUUUUCAAUAUUUGAUGGGCUUUCACCUAAAAAUAUAAAUAAAUUGGUCAAAAUAGCUCCAUUCCAUUACUUUCUGUCCAACCUAAUUCUAAGCUUAUUCUGGCUAAAUUUUAACAACACUAAAUUCACAUGGCAAUUUUAGGUUAAAUUCCAAUUUUAAUCCCUCUGCAGUGUUUAACAUUGAUAUUUAAUAUUUAGUAUAAUUAUUUGCAUUGCUAAAAAAAAAGAAAAACACCGUAAAAUACCGAUUAAAAUACUCUGGCUAUGAUUUUCAUCGAAAGCCAUGAAAUUACUGCCAUGUAAAUGCAACUGAAAAAAAUCGUCAGAAACUAAUGCACAAUACAUACAGAUGCAAGAGGUAUACAUAGCUUAUCUGUUACAUAAUCUACACUUUAAAAGUAAUUAAAUUAAAUUACAACAAUUUAAAAUAUCGUAAUUGGGGCAGGAAGAAGAAGAAGCAAGUACGGACGGAGAUUGUUGCAGCAGAGGAUAUCACGAAAACUUACCGAUUGUUGCGGCAGAGGAGACCAACGGAGGGAGACGAUGAUGCGCCAAAGGAAACAGCAACGUUGCAAGAGGUCGAGUUUGGGGAAAUGUGGAUUAGGGGAAAUUUUAGGGAUUUCGGGGAGAAAUGGAUUUUGGGGGAUAAGUCACGAUAGUUGAGGUUUAAGUUUCGGUCAAAUGUAUGGGGCAGAGGAGACCGACGGAGGGAGACGGUGAUGCGCCAGAGGAAACGGCAACAUUGCAAGAGGUCGGGUUUGGGGAAAUCUGGAUUAGGGGAAAUUUAGAGAUUUUGGGGAGAAUGGGAUUUUGGGGGACAAGUCACGAUAGGGGUUUAAGUUUCGGUAAAAUGUAUGGGAAAAAAAUGACGACGUUUUUUUAUGAAAAUGAAAUCAUUUGUGGCACUUAUCAGUAAGCGCUACUAAUAUCAGUACAAAACGUAGUCGUUUAACACACAUUAGAGUAAAACUUGUGGUGCUUAGAGUAAAAACGCCACUAAUAACACGGACAAAACGACACCGUUAUAAGAUAACAUUCAACAUCUUUGCGGCGCUUUAGCUAAAGCGCCACUAAUAAAAAUAGGAAACGGCGCCGUUUCCUCAACUCGUAAUAAAUAUUUCUGGCGUUUUUAAAAUGCACCACUAAAAGAAAACAAAAAAAUGUCACCGUCUUUGUUCACUUAAAGGAAAUUUGCGGCGUUUAUUCGCAAAACGCCGGUAAUACAUCACCUUUAGCGGCGUUUUUAAAAUGCACCACUAAAAGAAAACAACAAAACGACACCGUCUUUGUUACAGUUAAAGGAAAUUUGCGGCGUUUCUUCACAAAACGCCGGUAAUGUAUCACCUUUAGCGGCGUCUUUUCUGAAGCGCCGCUAAUGCCUUCCUCCAAGAUUGAAGUCAAUUUAAUCCAAAAUUAAAACAAAAUUUAUAAAAUGAAAUUAUUAAUUAAUAAAAAAUGAGAGAAUAAUGCAUUUUUAAAAAAUAAAUUCAUGUUCUAAAAAAAAUUUACAUCAAUAUAUUUUUAUAUUGAAUAAAUAUAAAUUUUUAUGUAUGCAAUAUAUAAAUGAAAAAUGAUGUUAAUUAUAUCAAUAAUUGUGUUAAUAUUUUACAAUAUUUAGAUUAAGUUAAAGUUCAUGUAUACAAUUGAACAUUAAACCGUUGUUCAUGUACGCUUUUGGGAUUUAACCCAUUUUGAUAUAUAUAUUUUUUGAAUUAAUAUUUUAUAUUUAUUUUAUUUAGAUUUAUAUUCUAAAAAAUAUAACCCUAAACCUAACAACCAAACCCCAAAAUCCGACCAUGAAUAUACCAUAAACCUUAAAUCAUAAAUCCUAAACCCCAAACUUAAAACUCUAAACUCUAAACCGUAAACCCCAAAUCGUAAUCCUAAACCAUAUUUUUUGGAAUUCGUGUGGCCAAUGUUAGUGUAGUACAAGACAUAUAUUUUAUAUUAUUAUAUCAUAUAUAUAUAAUAUGGCUGUAGUACAAAAUGGCAUGAAUCCGAGUAAAAUCCAAAUGUUCUUCAAAUUCCAAACUAAACCUCAAAACCCUAAACUCAAACCUUAAACCCCAAAUUCAAACUCUAACACAUAAACACUUAACCCAAAUUAAUAAACAAUAUACCAUAAACCUUAAACCCUAAAUCGUAGACAUUAAAUCUUAAAUUUUAAACCCUAAAACCUAAAAUAAAACGAUGGAUUUUGCUCAACACUUUGAUGCGUUGAAACCCUAAUCGUAACCCCUAAAUCCCUUAACCCCUAAAGCAUAACCCCUAACCCUUAAACUUGAAAUCCCAAACCCUAAAUCCAUACCCAAACUACUCCUUAAACUCUAAACCGUGUACUAUAGUGAUAAUUAAUUCAAUAUUUUAAAAUUAAUACUAUCUCUUUUACAAUUAUAUAAGAAAUUAUUUAAUAUAUAAACUCAAAAAAUCAGUAAUGUAUCCAAAAAAAUUUAAAAUUAUUUUAAAUAAUAAUAUUUUAAUAUUUCCAUUUUUAACGAAUAUUUUAAAAUAUUUUAAAUCCCUAAGCAUUAGAGGCGCUUCCCUAAAAACGCCGCUAAAUCCCCAAAAGCUCCGAAAACGGCACAGUUGGACUUAGUUUUUUUGCAGUAUUUUCUCGAAAAUGCCACUAAAGGAAGAAUUAGCGGCGCUUUCUUAAAAAACGCCGCUAAAUCCCCCGAAAGUUCAGAAAAUGGUGCCGUUGGGCUUAGGAUUUAUUGCGGCGCUUUUUUCAAAACGUCGUUAAAGCCCUUAGCAUUAGCGGCGCUUUAGUAAAAAUGCCGCUAAAUCCCCCAAAAGUUCAAAAAACAGUGUCGUUGGGCUUAGGAAUUAUUUCGGCGCUUUUUUCAAAACGCCGCUAAAGCCCUUAGCAUUAGCGGCGCUUUAGUAAAAAUUACGCUAAAUCCCUGAAAGCUCAGAAAACGGUGUCUUGGGCGUAUGUUUUUUUUGCGGCACUUUCUCGAAAACGCCGCUAAAUCCACGAAAGCUCAGAAAACGACGCCGUUGGGCUUAGGUUUUUUACCAGCGCUUACCUAGAAACGCCGCUAAAUCCCAAAAAGCUCAAGAAACGGUGUCGUUUGGCUUAGGAUUAUUAGUGGCGCUUCUUUAAAAACGCUGCUAAAUCCCCAAAAGCUAGGUAAAUGGCGUCGUUGGGCUUUGGUUUUGCGGCGCUUUCUGGAAAAUGCCACUAAUGCUUAUUUUCAGCAGCUUUUUCCGUGAAGCGCCGCUAAUGAUAUAUCUUUAGCGGCGUUUUUCAUCUAAACGCCGCUAAAAUCGCCGCUAAAAGCUUGUUUUGGUGUAGUGUGGCAGCAAAGUAGUGACAAAAUAAAAAUAAUUUUUUUUUUUGAAAAUUUAGGUCGGGUCGGGUUUUGGUCGAAAAAAGCUUACUUGAGGCUCAACCCAUUUUUAAAUGGGCUUUAUUUUUUUUACCCAAACCAAAAUUUUAAGUCUAAAUUUUUGCAUAGUAAAUCAGUGAGAUUAGGAUUGAAAUAUAUGACUUGGCGACACGGUCGUGUAUCAUCUGAUAAUUUCAUUAGUGUGCAAGUUAGUGAGUUACACGAUCUAUGUAACGCCCUAGAAUUGGGUUAGAAUUAUUCAGAUUAGUUGGUUGGAUCUGCGGUUAGGUGGGACUAUUAAGUUGAUUUUUGUGUUUUAGUGCCAAAAUGAAACAUUUGGGUUAGUGGCUAGGUCUUUGAUAGCUUAAACUUUGGUCUAGAGUUUGAGUUCAAGUGUGAACAAUGUGAAAAUUCUCUUUUUAAGUAUUUUUUUAUUUACAAUUUUAACUCCUUAAAAUUUAUGUUAAACCUUUGGAGGGUUUUUGAUAAUUGGAUAUUAAUUAAAUUGUUUUGGAAUUUAUUUUUUUAUAGGAGGAUAAGAAUAAUACAAAUAAAAAAAAUAAAAUUGUUUUUGUAUUUCCACACUUCACUCACUUCCCCAUUUUUUUCCCGCUUUCUCCAUCUUGGCUUUCACGUUUGUUUUCUUUUUGUUGCUAGGAUUUCCUUUCUGUUUUCUUUUCCUUCGUAUCUCAAUCUCAGUCGAAUCGGGAAAACCCACCAUUUUCACACCUUUUUGCUGUCCAUUUCUCUUCCACCACACCAAUACCCAGACCCAGGUUUGCUUUCUUCUAAUUUCCCUUUCGUUUUUUUUUUCCAAUUUCUUCAAUGGGUCUUUAUUGAAUCUCUAGUUCUAGAAAUUGAUCGUUAACUUUGAUGUUUAGUAACUAGUAGAACUUUUCAGUGGUAAUGAUUUGCAAGUGUUUAGUUUAUUUUGGCAUUUUCUAUAUCAUUUUGAUCAUGUUCUUUCUUCUUUUUUCUUAAUUGAUAUUUCUGGCAGAUAUAUUUUAGGGUUUUGUUUUGUCUUGUUGCUUUUUAAUCUUAAUUGGUCUUAAUUAUACUAUAAGAAUUAUUGUGUACAAGUUCUCGAAUUGCAUUGCACCUUUUAACUUUGGGGUUUCAAAUCCCAUGCCCAUUUAUUUAUGUAUUGCUGCUAAUUUUCGGAUUCUGGAUAUUUACCUGCAAUUGAUAUCUAUAAAUAACUCUUAUGUUCCCACUACGAUGAAUGUGACAUGAUCGGAAAACCAUCCGCUGCCAUAAUUUAUAUCCAUGUUCUUAUAUCGUAGAAUUUCUUUCCAGAGUAUUUUUGUUUUCCUAAUCUCCGGAUGUUUGAUGUCUUUUUCCGGCUAUUGCUUCGUUUUCUCGUGUUAUAGAGUAUCGUUUCUCAAAAAAACUUCUUUCUUUCUUUGCUUCACUCAACUUUUGAAAGAAAUAAAAAAUCCAGCUAUUCUUUUUUCUGUUAUAGUAACUUCUUGGAUUGGUAAACAAGACUCUGAAAAAUGGGAUUUUGUUUCAAAGAUGCAGAAUAUUGAUGUAUGUUUUAGGAUCAGCUUCAGUUUUCUUGUUUCUUUCCUUAUUCAUAGAGAAAAAGCUGUGUAUGUAAAUGUUUCUUUUAUGUCGUAUAGAUUUAUCAUUUAUGAGGAGUUAAUGCUGUGUUUGGUGGUGAAAUUAUAGGAGUCACAUAUGCUUUUAUCUUUUAGUAAUUCAGAAAAUGAUAAAAACUUUUUCUUUACUUAAACCUUAGAUUGAUAUACUGAAGAUGUUAUGAGUUCAUAUUGCAAAGUGAAUAACACGUACUUAUGGAUUUGGUAUUGAUUUGGGGGUUUCUCUAUUCUUUGUUGGUUACUCAAACUUGAAGAUUUGUAUGGCUUUGUGGUUGUUUGGAUUUUCAGGUUAAAUUCAGUUUGGGAUAAGGUUGAUUUGUCUUGAAUCUUUUUUAUUUGAUUUAUUAUAGUUCUAUUCAAUAAUUUAUGUGUUUAUGAACUCUUUUAUCUUUAAUUUAUUCCUAGAAAAUGCAGGGAAAAAGCAAGCAAUUAGUUGGAUGAACCAAAUAGGAGUUUCUGUUUUGAUUUAGGUGGGUUUUUACAAAGUUUCUAAGGAGAGUGAACAUUAUACAUACAUACAUAUUAUAUAUUUACAGACACAUAAACAAGCAAUUAUUUUGAGAUAAUCUGUAAAUGGUUGGUUUAUACAUAAGAAAUUUGAUCAACCUUUUUUUUCCCUGAGUAAGGUCGCUCAGAAAAUUGAAUAUAUUGGUGUUGAGCACAUAUUGUUAUUUGAUAUUCACUUCAAUUCUAGGUAAUAUGUUUUAAGUGAUAAGUCAAUAGAUUAGAGGACCAAUUCUAGUUGUGGGGUCUUGAGAUGGGAGCAGGUCAAGCAUGGCAAACCUCUGGUCUGCCACUCUCCUUGCUGUCAACUUAACAUGGUUUGAAGUGUUAGGGUCCAAGGGAACCCCAAAGCGAAAGCAUGAUAAGCACAUAAUAAGUUGUAUACUCAAAUCAGAAUUGUUUUUUUUUUAUCUUUUAUUACAUUUGGGGCAACUUAAAGUUUUAAUUCUUUUUCCGUAGUUUAAAUUUGGGCAUUUUGGUUGGUUGAUUACAUUUCGCAAGUUGUUUUUGGUGCAGUUUCACUGUCCUUUUUAAUGUUGUUUCACUGCUGCUUUUAAUGUUGUUCCGCUGCCGCUUUUAAUAUUGUUUGGAUAUUGUAAAAUCUUUAUUCUAUUUUUUUAUCUCUUGACAAUCUCAAACUAUAUGAAUUAGUGUUUGAUUCUUUAUAAAAUAUAAAACAUGAAAUCAUAUUUAGACAUUGUAAUGUGUCGGUAAUGAGUUGUAACAGUCUAUUGCAAUUUACUUUAGCAACCACCGUGUUUAGACUUUUUUUACUUUAGCAGUUUCCUUGUCUGCUAAUUUUUGAAAUGGAGAUGAUAUUGUGGGAGUUUUUUGGCUAUAGGAUGUUCCCAUGGUUAAUUCUUCAUUUGAUCAUUGUCUCCUUUAUUAAUUUAAUUUUUAUUUUUGGUUUGUAACAGCUAUGGCGGAACCAGAUUGUGCGAUUAUAGACCAGGAUAAUCGUGUGUAUUAUGGAGUGGUUAAGAUUUCGGGAAAAGAAAUUAGCUCCACUCUCUUGCCGUUUAAAGAUGAAGAGAAAGCUUUGGAACUGUACACACAUUUAGUGGCGCAUCAAGAUGAUUGGAUUUUAUGCUGCCAUCAUCUUGUACGGUAUCAAGAUAAAUGGCUGGUUGUAUUAGAAUAUUCUAAAAAUAUUGUAGCAUAUUUUAGAGAAAGAAUGAAAGGGUGGGAAAGUAGUAACCGAAAUGAGAGUGAAUGGUUCAAUUAUAUUAGUGAGGAUUUUGGUAGGAUCUUAAGGGAUGUGGCUCGUAUAUGGGCUAAAAGUAAUAAGUGCAUUUACACGCAAGAUCCGAUAAAGUCUAUAUUCAUCACUAAUUUCGGUGGGAGGGUAAAGUUUUUACCCAAUUUAAAUGCAUCUGACCAACCAAUCGAAGGUGAUAUUGAUCAGUUAAAAUAUUUGAUGAACUACAUCGUCAAUAUGCCAUUCGGAUCUGUUAUUCAAAAUUAUCAGAAAUUCAAUAUGCCGAAUGAACUAUCAUGUUUUCUUACUGAGCUCAAUUUUCAACACUUGUAAGUUAUCUUUCACAUAUUUACUUUUACUUUAAAGUUCGAUAACUCAUAUGGUCUAUUCAUUAAUUUCAUAAUCUUUUUGUUUACUUAUUUGCCUAUGUCUAAAUGGAGAGGAAAUACAUGAGUCCUGCAUUUCUACUGGAUGUGCCUUUAUUUUGGAGACUUGUUGAUAAGUUCCAUUUUAUUAUAAAUCUGGAUCACAUGCUGAAGCGCAGAGAGAUUAAGUGGCAACAGCUUGAGAAAUGCCUAAAGAACUUGCGAAAGAAAUAUUUAUAUGAUUGGGUGUUGGCGGUGAACUGUGAUCCAGUGUUUAAAUCUAUAUACCAGCAUGGAAAAUCUAGUUUCCCAAACAAUGCCUAUUCCUCUGCUCCCUAUGUCUCUGUAGUACGAUGCUGCUCUAAUGUUUACCGUCUUUACAACGACUAUGCAACACAAAAAGUAAGAUUUCAAUAUUUUUUAUUAUGAUAUUCUAUUUAUCUUUGUUAUUAACUUUAACUUAAAUUGUUUAUUUUAUAGAUUAGCAUCAUUAACAUUGAGAAUAAGUUGAGUAGGCUAUUGCCAAAACUGUAUCUUCAUCUAUUUUAAGGUUUAAUCGAUUAUGCCAACAGAAAUAAUAACAGGUAAGGAAUAUAGAAAAAUUAUAUUAUCAUUGUAAAAUUGUUUUUUCAAUUCAUAUUAAAUGAAUAUUGUUAUUUUAAUGUUUUGAUAUAGGGAGCCAGUUUUUUCGAAAUCAAUUAUUUCUGAAGAUAUAUGAAGGGUAAGCAAGUUGGUUUUCUCUUUAUAUAUAUUUAAAAACUGUCACACCUCAAAGUCAGGACUAGAAGUAGGAAAAAGAAAAGAAUAAAAAAAUCACGUGAUUAGAGGAAGAAAAGAAAUACUGAGUUUAGAAAAUACGGGUUAGAGAGUAGUAACUAGAACUUCGAAUUAGCUUAGGUGAGAUUAGAAUUGAAAUCAAGGAUCAAACUAAAGCAAAUUACUUUAAUUGAAAUCGAGAAAUUCAAGUUCUUAAAACAUGUCUCUAGAAAUUAGACUAUGUUCAAAAAUUUAAUUUCAUGCAUGUCAAUAAUAUAUAUAAUCUUCUUACUUAUUUGUUUAUUCAAUUUUAUUAUGUUUAUAAUUGAAUUUAAAUUAUGUUAGUACUAUUGAGUAUAUAUUACUCAGCGUACAGUUAUAAUUAUUUUUAUGCGUAGGUAUCGGAUGGGAGCUUUAGUAAAUACAUGGUCAAGCAUCCAUUUUCUCCAGCUCAACUCGAAAGUCAUUUCGUUGCUAUUUUGUAUGUUGAGUCUUACGGUAUGUAACUUGGCUAGUAAACUUGUUACUUGAGUAAUUUUAGGUGGUUAUGAUGAUGUAAACGAUGUUUUCCAAUUAGAUUGGAAGGAGCUUGAACGUGGGUGGAGAAAAACUACUUCUAUGUUGUUCCCUCGGGCUUUUCCCCUGGUUUUUGCUGUAGAAAGAGAGAUUUACGUCUUCGAACAAUUGGGUUUUGAAUAUUUUGGCGAGGGAACCAUUGUCGCCCCCUCCGGAAGCUAUUGCUCUAAGUAAUCCUGGUCUAGAUUCUUCCCGAUCUCGGAUUUUGGUGCACUGCCAUGUCAAUAAUUCUCUUUACGCUUAUUACUAAGAUCGUAAACAUGGGUUUGCCUCGAACAAAAAUUUUGUUACUGGUCUGACUUAGCGUCAAUUCUUGGACUAUGUGCUAUAGACUGUCAUGUAUAAUUAUUCUGGUGAGUUCUGUUCUUUGGAGGCGUAUAAUAUGCUUGAUAAGAAACAUUUUCCCGUCAAAUGGUCAUCAGAGUUUUCAAUGGAUCCACCAAGGAGUGGCACUCUGUUUCGUUUGGGCAAUGGCGAGUGUAUUUCGGGCUGGGUGAACCAUAUCGAUAUGAGUUUUGAGUACAUAAGAUUUAAUAUGUGGUGCAACGAGCAGGGAGGGAUUCAUGCAGCUGCAGAGCAUCAAUCUGCCAUCACUGUUCCAUAUCAAUCCAAAGAUAUUUGUGAUAUAUUUUUGUUCUGAAUGAAGGUUAAAGCCCCCUUCAUUUCACUAUUACAUCAUGGUUAUUCAUUUGCCAAUGCUGCUUGCCAUUACAUUUGGUUUGCUCUAAAUAAAGGUUAGUGCCCCCUUCACAUCACUACCACAUCUUAAUUAUUCCCAUCCCUGUAAAUUGACGGAUUUUUCAUUUGUCGAUACUGCUUGUCAAUGCAUUUUGUUUGCUCUUGUUGUUGCCAAGAAGUUGAUAGUGAGCCUUGAACUUCCUGUAUAAAACUUGAGUAAUGCUAAGGUACGGAGUAGACGAAUCAGGUGUCGUAUUUGUAUUGUGUGAAAAUGUCUUCCUUUUUCCAAGACUCAGUUUUAUUACGACUAUGCGUCGUGCUCUAUUUGUUGUUUUAAAUGGGUACGAGGCUCCUAGCACCUUUAGAGAACUAGAACUCAAGUUCUGUCUUUGCCUUACCCCCAAUAGUUGCUUCUAGUUUUUUGUUCCAAAAAGAAAAUAAAAUUUCUUGAUGUAAACAAAGGCUUAAAUUCCCGAUGAAGUACUUAGGCUGAAUUUGAUUUGAGAUAGUGCAUGUUAUUACUAAGUGAGCUAUUAGCUUGUUGAAACCAGUAAGAGAGUGGACAAAAUAUUACUUAAGAAUAUAACUCUAACAAAUGGGAAUUACUUAGUCCUACAACUAGAGAAUUUGAAGUAGAGAAAAAGUAAUUAGUAGGGGCCAAAAAUAUUUUGCCAUCCUAUUUUCGGUUUUGUAUCGUUUGUUUUCUUGGAAAGUAAGAAGGUUUGGGAGCGAUAAUUAUAUAUGUAUUGUUUUUUCCUCGUUUCUUUGAUUUCGACUGAUGAAGCUCCAACACGUAAGAAGUCAAAAAUGAAAAUGGUAUGAAUUACAUAUGAAGAUGAAUGCUGUAGACUGCAGAUGUAUAUCUGAAAAACCAUUAAUAGAUUAUGGAGAUCGUUUCUCCGAUGUGUUUGUUUUGUUGGUAGUUGUGAGUUAUAAUAAUAAUAAUAAUAAUAAUAAUAAUAAUAAUAAUAAUAAUAAUUUUACUCACUUUUCAUUGCUGUAAAAGGUCAUGGAAGCUUUUAUUAUUAUUUACAACAAUGUUGAUUUUUAGGGCUCAUUUGGUGCAUGUUGAUGUGGUCUGCUGAUGGAUAUGUGUGUAUAUAUUUUUAAUUAUUAAUUUUAUGGAUCAGAAUGAUUAUAUUAUAUAUCAAUAAAAAAUAUACUUUAAUUUUGGCUAAAGGGUAAAAAAAGCCCCCAGACUUUUUCAAAAAAUUAAUUAAGCUCCUUGAAUUUUUUUGUUUUCACUCAAUUGAGCCCUUGAACAUUUGAAUUACAAUCAAUCAAUCAAGCCCUUUAACUCUUUUCAAUUUUCGCUGCAAUGUUAUAAAAUUAUAUUCUUAUUCUGAGAUUUUUUUCCCUCCCUUUUAGGUCUCAGCUGGAACGUGUUGGUGCAUGGAGUUGAGUCAAGACCCAUGUUGAUGGUGAAGAGAGACUUUGAAGAUGCCGUCAAUUAUUUUGGUUAAAACUUUGAAGUUGUUGAUGUAAUUGGGUGCUUCCUUUUUGGAUACCCAAAUAUUGACAAAGUUAAAACUAUAUAGUAUUGUGAUUUUGCACUUUAUUCAGUUCUUUUAAGGCCAUCUCUCUUGCCCUUCAAAUAGCACCCAUUAAGUGGUUUGAAUUAUUAUUUUUUUAAACUAAAUAAAUGUAUUUGAAAAUUAAAUUAAACAUUCGUGGUCAGAGGU
rnacentral:lncRNA from 1 species